rnacentral:lncRNA from 1 species
UUUUUUUUUUUUUGUAACCCANNNNNNNNNNNNNNNNNNNNNNNNNNNNNNNNNNNNNNNNNNNNNNNNNNNNNNNNNNNNNNNNNNNNNNNNNNNNNNNNNNNNNNNNNNNNNNNNNNNNNNNNNNNNNNNNNNNNNNNNNNNNNNNNNNNNNNNNNNNNNNNNNNNNNNNNNNNNNNNNNNNNNNNNNNNNNNNNNNNNNNNNNNNNNNNNNNNNNNNNNNNNNNNNNNNNNNNNNNNNNNNNNNNNNNNNNNNNNNNNNNNNNNNNNNNNNNNNNNNNNNNNNNNNNNNNNNNNNNNNNNNNNNNNNNNNNNNNNNNNNNNNNNNNNNNNNNNNNNNNNNNNNNNNNNNNNNNNNNNNNNNNNNNNNNNNNNNNNNNNNNNNNNNNNNNNNNNNNNNNNNNNNNNNNNNNNNNNNNNNNNNNNNNNNNNNNNNNNNNNNNNNNNNNNNNNNNNNNNNNNNNNNNNNNNNNNNNNNNNNNNNNNNNNNNNNNNNNNNNNNNNNNNNNNNNNNNNNNNNNNNNNNNNNNNNNNNNNNNNNNNNNNNNNNNNNNNNNNNNNNNNNNNNNNNNNNNNNNNNNNNNNNNNNNNNNNNNNNNNNNNNNNNNNNNNNNNAGAGAUGAUGAUUCCGAAGCCACCCUAUCCAAGCCAUAUUAUUCACAUAUAGAAUCCCAACAGCAACAGUGUAGGGAUGAGCACGAAAUACUGUAAUUAAAUGCUGAAUGGCGGUUCAUGUAGGGAAAGAACAUAUCAAUAUUCGCAUAUUCAUUCAAAAACAUGAAAAAUUCUUAAUAGAGUACCCUCAUUUUUUAUUGAAUUCUUAAAAAACAAUAUUUAUAAUGAAUUUUAAUAAUUUUUUCGAAAUUUUUUUAAGCUUUAUUCAGACCGAUUCACCCGAUUCCCGAUCCGGAUCGUCGAUUCGCCGAUCCAAAUCGGUUUUUUGAAAACCCGAUCCAGGUCACCGAUCCGUUUUUUAAACCAUUGGAUCAAACCAUCAAAACGUUAAGCCGCCGUAUCAGAGAGAGAGAGAGAGGGAGGGAGAAUGAGGGUGGGCUCGGGCCAGCAUUAGGUCCUGGCCUGACCUUGUUGCUAUAGGGCUCGGUCCAUUGCCAGCCCUGGUGACAAGUUACAUCCAUCGAAAGCGAAGACCAGGUGUCGGGCGGAAACGAGCAGAAGGAAAUUUUAUUUGAAGGACGAGAGAGAGGUGAAGAAGCCCUCACCCUUUCGAGUUUUGACAACAAAAAAAGAAGCGGAGAGGAGAACAAAUGUUCGCUGCACCACCCCCUCUCUCUCUCUCUCUCUCUCUACAAGUCCAAAUUAAUUAAUUAAUUCCCCCUUUCUCUGUUACUUUCCACCUUCCAUCAACAAAUUCUUAGCCACAAGCGUUCUCUCUCUCUCUCUAGAUAGUUGACUCCGAAAGUUACUCCCUUUCUCUCUCUAAAAAAAAACCCCCCGAAAUUGAAAUUUUGGUUGCGAUCGCCCUGCCCCUCUUCUCUCUAUUUGCACUCAACAAAAGAAAUGAAUCUCAUUUAUAGAGAGAGAGAAAUUACAAGGUGAAUGAGUGUGAGUCGGUUACAAGGUCUCUCCACGUUUACUCCACGGCCCUAAAACCUUUUGGAAUAAUAACCAUCGAUACAAAUGAAUACACGCACUCGCCCCCAGCAUUAUUUAGAGACAGAAACCCUGCCCGAUUAACCCUAAAUCAUAUCCGCACAAAAUCGCAUCUCCGUUUUCUCUCUCCAUCUCUGACCCGAUCAACUUCGCCGCGCUUUCUCUGGACCACGACUCGAUAUUCUUCUCAUUCCGAGUCGCUUUCCAUGUUACCCAUUGCCUUCAACCCCCUCGGCCUCUGCAAACCGCCCACAAUUAGCAGAUCCCCAAAAUCAAAAUUUUGUUGACAUAUGAUGUAAAACAUCCAGAAGCGACCGGUUCUUAGAAGCGACCUAAACGAGGAAUUUUUAGAGAGAGAAUGAACAAAAUACCCAUAUUUUAAGAGAGUGGAACCCAUAUGAAAGGGCGAGGAAAGGGACCAUAUUUUCAGAGAGACCAAGUUUUGAGAGAGAGAGAGGUAAAAAAAAAGGAUCAUUUUAGAGAGAGAAAACCCCAAUAUGAGAGAAUAAAAAAGGAUCAAAAGAGUGAACACACCCAAUUUGAGAAAAUAAGAGAGAGAGAUAGAUAGCAAACACCAAUAUGCAAGAGAGAGAAUAAGAGUUUUUUCUUUGAAUCUGGUCAAAAAACAAAAAAAAGAUCAGACAGUAGUACCUUCUUGUUGCUCUUCUUCUCUCUGACUUCGUAACGCUCCUGAGACAACUCACACAGCCAAGCACCGGGGCUAACCAGCUGCACAAGAGAGAUAAAAUAAUAUCAAAUGAAAUCCCCUGAAUUCCCAAGAAAUUAGAGAGAGAAAGUGUGAAGAACAAGAAACAAGAGAGAGAAAGUUUGAUGGCUUACAAGUAAGCUUUUCUGGAUAAAUUUGGCCCGCUUCUUUGGUCUCGGAGGGAGCUUACACCCCUUCAUCGCCAUGAAAUCUUCUUCCUUCUCCUUACUGGACAAGGCGAUUAUGAACUUUGGCCAAACAAAGGCCUUUUCAGUAAACCCAUCUCCAUUUUCGGAGCAGAUCUUUCCAUUGUUGCCGCCAGCAUCGGUUGAAGAAGCGAAGCCUGUUGCUGCUCCCCUGGUGGAGUAUCGAUCUUCUUUCUCUGGAGAAGAAGAGGAGGGAGCACCUCCUGCUCCAGCGCCACUAGUGCUCCUUCCCUUUGCUGCCAUGUCUGAGCUUUCGAGGAGGACGAGACGUUCAUCGCUCCGACGCCUGGCCAUGGCUUCGGCCCCUGCCGAUCUCAGAGUUGCAGUAUCGGAGUUCCUGAAAUUAGAUAUGAGAGAAAGAUUUAGAGAGAGACCAAAAUGGAAGAUAAAGGAAAACUCAAGUUUAGAGAGGGAGAGCCCAAAAUGGAAGGAAAAAAAAAAAUCAAAGAUUGGAGAGGAAGGAGAUAAUACCAAAACCAAAACGGAUGAGCCAGAAGGGAAAAAAAAAUAGUUUUCAUAGAAAUAGGAGACAGAACGAAAAUCCAACCCUGUAAAGAAAGAGAAAGCCCAAACUGAACUAAAAGGAAAGCCAAGUUUAGAGAGCAGAGAGACCAGAAGUCCCGAAUGAGCAAGAAAAGAACCAAUUUUCUAAUAAGAAAAAGAACCAAAUUUUCAGAGAAAGAGAGACGCAACCCAAAAUGGAAUAACCAGAAAAAUUCAACUUGAGAGAGAGAGAUCAAAAACCCAAAACAAUAGAGACCCAUGUAAAGCUGUAGAAGAGAGACCAAAACGGAAGAGUAAGAAAAACUAACUUGAGAGAAAGCCAAAUCCAAAACGAAUGAGGAAAAGAACCAAAAUUUCAGAGAAAAGAGAGACCCUAAAACUGAAAGAGCCAUAAAGGGCCAAAUAUUAGAGAGAGAUUAUCAGCCAUGGCCGACUGCAAAUCGAAGUUCUUUAUUUUCUUCUGUAAAAGUUCACCUUUGGAGGCGAUUCGGUUGGUGAUGAAGGGAAUUGGGUUUCCAAGAAAGAGACGGUCUUGAUGGAGCCGAUUCUUUGUCAGCCCUCACAACUCGUCUGUCUACCCGAAUGGUGGUCUUCUUCGAGAGGCCAUCUUUAUCUGCAACACCUUCUUUUGUCUGAAUCUUAAUGCAUCUCAUUCUCUUCCUGUUACCCCACUGUAACAGGAAAUCAGUCUCCGGAGGCCUACAAGCUCUGUGAUUCUUGUUUUCCUUCUCCAUCCCUGCAAAACCCAGUUUCUCUCUCAUCAGAGACACAAAUUAAGAGUGAGAAGACAGAGAAGAGAGAGAAAAUUCCAAAGAUUGUUGGUCUCUCAGACCUUGCAUCAAGAUCUGAAACUCUGCAGCACCCAAAUCCUCGAAUGGUGGAGAAAUUCGGACAAAAUGUACUGAUAUUAUCCUGAAAUUGCACAAUACCAUUCUCACUCAAUCUUGGGGUGAAAAUUAGCAGUUUUAGAGAGAGAAACAAACCAGAGGAGAGAGGAGAGAGCCUCACAGGAAUCAAAAUACGCCUCCACAAUGCGAUGAUUUGCAGUUGGUAGAGAGAGAUUGAGACUAAUUGACACCCCAAAAUUGCCUCCGAUUCUUCUUAACUUUAGAGAGAGAAAGAGAGAGACGGAGAGAGAGAAGCUUUCCCUUCACCUGUGCAUCUGCAUCUUUCCUCACCCUUUUGAAACUUAAAGCCCCUCCUCUCUCUCUCUCUCUCUCUCUCUCCUUUUUUCCCCUAAAUUUUUUUAUUUUUUAUCGCUUCAUUUUUCUCCCUCCAUUCACCCAGCACCCCCAUUUAUCACUAGCAAGCACGAAACAGCUGCCACUGUCCGAUCCAUGAUCGACGGCCAUGAUUCUUUCUACGUAAGGCUCGACGAGGCGCCUUCUGCCCAUUUUACGUGCCCCGCAGUGACCGCUUUGAGGGCGCUUAUAUGAUGGGAUUUCUUUGAGACAGCCGACCCAUACUGUAUAUAUAAAAAUUUAGAAAAAUGGUUUGAUAUGGCUGCAGUUUUAUUAAAAUAUAUAAAACCUCACCACAUAGCUCACUGAAAAUUGCAACUCAAGUAUUGAAAAACCCAUCAUCUAGACUUAAAACAUUAUGUUUAUGAAAAAAAAUUGGAUUUAAAGCUCUAGAAAUAAUGUAAUAUUGCAAAAAAUUAUAUAAGCCAUCUAUUUUGCCUUAAAAAUAAGUGUUCAAAUUUUAUUGUCAGUAUUAAAAAUUGAUUUUAGAGCUAUGAUAGUCGAAAGUGCAUUUUGGAUAAGGAUUUGAGGUGAGGUUUUAUUUUAUUUUCAUAAAAUCUAGGCCUCAUACACACCUCACAAAUAUAAAUUUAUCUUAAAAAUAAAAUUUUAAGAGAUCAAAGUAAAUAUUAUUAUAAAUAUAUAAAAAAUAAAGCGUUUUAUAUUUAAAAUAUAACUUUUUAAAAAAAUUAUACCUAUUUUAGACGUGCGAGUUUUUUUACAACGUCCAUGAGAGGGCCGUUGGUGAGUCAGCGGGCUCUUGCACCCGCUGAUUCACGGCAACUUUGCCUAUAUUAUAUAUUCUCCUUUCUCUCUCUCCUCGUGCGCUCUCGAUUUCCCAUCAGGUUCUCUCUCCUACACACCUCUAUAACCUGGAAGCUAACGCCGUUUGUGGCUCGCCCAAACGGCGUCUUAUCCACUGCGGGGAUUGCCGACGGACACGUUAUCCUUCCGUUAGCGGUUGCAAUGACUCUCUCUCCCUCUUUGGCCCUCUCUGGAAAGUUACAAAUACAUUUGAAUACAAUGUUUGUAAGUUCCGUGUACUCUCUCUCUCUCUCUCUCUAGCAGACGAAUAAAUGUUCUCUCUCAAACCCUAUGAUACAUCUGUUAAUGUAGAAAUAUUGGGAAGGGUUAUCACCUCUGAAUGAUUAGGUUGGACGGUGGGGAAGGAGAGCCGGUCCCUCCAAAUAAUUCACCUAUUUGAUUUUCAUGUCUUUUAGAUUUAGUUGAGUCGGGUCGAAUCAGAAGCCCUUCGUUGCACCGGAAGAGGAUGAUCAUUUCUAUAGAUUGCCAAGAAUCACCUGUUUCUGUUGGCUUUUUAUUUGAAAAAAGUUUAUAUAAGCUUGAUACCUUAAAUUAUAAGCAUAAGUUGCACAUCAAAAAACCAUUGAAAAAUGCUAUUUUAAUGUUGAAAUACCAUCUAAUUGAUCAUCUCAACAUCGUGAUGUAUGGAUAUUAAAAAAAAAAUCUAGUCCCAAAAAAAAUACAUCUUCCAAUACAUUAUCUAGACCGUUCAUUUUGAAGAUUUUCAUGCAUUUAUAGAUCUGAUUGAUUUGAAUCAUUUUGAAGAUUUUCAUGCAUUUAUAGAUCUGAUUGAUUUGAAUCAUUUUUGAAAUGCCAAAUUUUAUAAUUAUUUAUUAAAAUAGAUUCUCGAGGCCAUCCUAAAAAUUUCAACACUAAAAUUGGAUCUCAUGAUAAAGUUUGGAAGUGCGUAUUACUUUGAUUGUUUAAGGUUGCAACUUUACGCAAACCUCACCCUUUUAAUUCUAUCCAAAUAUCGAUUAGGAUCACAUUUUUAGAUUGACAAAUACGCGAUUAGUGGUUCGUCUUUUGAACCCUGAACUCAUGAAUCACUACAUUCUCACUAAAAAACUAAGAUCAUUAUAAAGAGAUUUUACAUUAUGAGGCCAUUUAUCUUAGUUACAAGGUCACAAUGCUCCUGCCAUUAGAUGUCAAAUUAAACAGUUUGGGUGUCACAAAGUUUGAAAAACUAUUUUUUGAACUCAAGUUUAAUCAUACACCGGUACAGCCACCCAAUUCAAAAUUAGACUUAGAGUCCUUGUGACCUAAGUAAAUUGUCCCUUUAAAUACUUGCUAUUCUCCUUUAAUGCCUCUUUUUCCCUCCUCAGAUGACUCCCAAAAGUCAUUGUCCUUGAUUUCUUAGUUUUAAUGGAAAUUAUUUGUGCAGGAUAAACCAAGUUGCUGGGGAAGUGGUCCCUCUUUUAGACCCUUACCCCAUUAGCCUUAGCCCCUCUCAUCCUUAAUAUAAGGUUUCCAUGCCUAUUCUUUGUCUGAUUCUAAAUAAAAGAUGAGGACAUUAGUGAGAGAGAAAUCUUACAAACUUCUCCAAAAUCCCCAUCUUUUCAAAUAUCUUCUCUUUAUCCAAAUAGAGAAAGCUAUUUCAUUGCCAUUCUAUUACCAUGUGAGUGGCUCAAAUGGCUUGAUGAGGUGUUUGGCACUCCAAUUAUUCAAAUAUAUUAUUUAAGGACACAAAUGCCAUUGGGAUGUGAUGGCAUUACGAGAGAUGGAUCAAUUUGUCGUAAUCUUAUUUUGGUACAAAGAGGAUGCAAUAACAGUCGUUGAUUGGGUAGUUGGGGAUGUGUUCUUGCCCAAGCUCAAAGCCCAAUGGAUAAAGUUUUUAAAAUUUCUGAUACAUCUCUAAUUGUUCAAUUUUUAAUCUGACUAGAGGGGAUUGUGAGUUGUCACAUGUUUGUGCUGAAAGUAAAUGGUCAAAUAAUGUACAGCUCUUUUCCUUAAAUAAAAUAAAAUAAAUAAAUAAAUAAGACAAAAAAAAAGUGAGGAUAGAAAUCCUCCAUCUCUAAUUACAGGAGAAAGUUUAUAUAAGCUUGCAACCUUAAGAUGUAGAAUUAAAGAUGCACCUCAAAAAUCCAUCGGAAAAGGUUGUUUUAAUAUUGAAUUGAUCAUCUCAACAUCAAAAUGUAUGAAUAAAAACAAAGAUUUUGAGACCUAAAAAUAGUGUAUCUUGCAGCACAUUAUCUAUACCAUUCAUUUUCAAGAUUUUCAUAUGUUUAUAGAUCUACGUUAUUUUAAUUAUUUUUAAAUUUACAAAUUUAAAAUUAGAUAUGAAAUAGAAUUGAGAUAAUCUUAAGAUUUUUUAUAACAAAAUUACAUGUUAUGAUAAAAUUUGGAGGUGCGCCUUAAUUGGAAUGUUUAAGGUUGCAACCUCUUAUAGAAACCACACCCCUAAUUAUACGCUCAUUUACCUCAAUGGUCAGGAGUCAUAGCGCUCCUAUUUCACAAGCGUAAUCAGGAUUGAAGUUCAUGCUUAUAUUGCACCAAGCACACAAAGCAACAAAUACAUACGAGAUACAAGAGGGUCAACGGUUGUUGCCCAAUUUUAUUUCUCUAUACCCUUAAACUUACAAGUGUACUGCCACAAUGCCCACAUAGGGUCUAAACAUAAAGUUUACUAGUGUAUUUCACUCAGAGUUGGGGCCGAAUCAGAUAGAGUGCACAAGCACCAUUUUCCUUAAUCUUGAAAGGAUUCUUGAACCGGAAAUUUUAGAGCUUGUACUUGAAGUGGGGUUUCGAGACCUAGGGUUUUUGUCAUGAGCUCACAGGUUUUUUUUUUGUUUACUUGAAGAGUUAAGAACCCUUUCCUUAUAUGCAAUAUAUUGAAUCAAUUGUUAUUACUUGUGUGAUCUUUUGUGAUCAACCAACGGUUCCCUCGCUCUUUAGAUUUGGAAAUCUUCGGUUUUGGGGCAUGUCUUUCUAAACUAGGUCUGAGCUCUUGAAAACAGGCCGCUAAUGGGCCUAAUUAGGGUUAGUUUAGGUUCUUGGGAUUGGGUUUAGGCCUAUUUAGGGAAGUUUUAGGAUGCUUUUCAGGUUUAAUUAGGCAAGGUCCGGCCCUAUACAAUUAGGCAGAUUCUAGGGUUUCCUAGUGGUGGAUUCCUCUGGCAUUCUUAUGAUGUUCCUUAGGGUGUAUUGAUUAUGGUUUGUGGGGUACUAGGGAUCACUAAACUAGUAUGGUUGAGGGCUGUGGGUUCUUGAGAAUUCCCUUAUGAUCUUGUAAUACAACAUCAUCAUUUGCAGGUGGUUGGUCUUACUCUGUUUUCAAAAAUGUUUUGAGGGAUAGUUUGAAAAAUGGGGACAAUUUUGAAAUAGAGACUGGUGCUAGGUUUUAAAAAGGCGAUUAAAGCGUUCGAAAACCAUUAUCCUACACUUGAAAUCAUGUUGGGAUUGAGCCUAGAUGAAGGUUUGAAACUUGAACUUGAAAACUUAAAAAUAAAUUUGAGCUUGAAAUGUGGAAAAACUUGAACUUGAAGUUACUUCAAGGACAAGACUUUAGAAAAUUUGAAAACUGAACUUGAACUUGAAAAUUUGAAAGACUUAAAACUUGAAAUGGUUAGCAGUUUAAACUCAUGCAACCAUGGAGCCUUCACCUAGGCAGUUUUGUGGUGCACCGAAAGAUAUUCUUGCACUUGAAAAUGGUUUGGAGCUUCAACUCGUGUAACUAUGGAGCCUUCUGUUUUUCUCCUGCAAUAAUGGAAAUACAUGAAAGUGAUCAACAGUUUAAGCUCAUGUGACCAUGUAGUCUUCACCUAUGCAGUUUUAUGUCAAUGGAUGUCUUGAACUUGAAAUAAGUAGUUUUAUUUAAUGUGGCAAUGGAUGACUUGAAACUUGAAGGUAGCAAUUUAGGAUCACGUAACCAUUGGCCAUAAUUGAACUUGAAUUUUUUUUUAGAAAACAGCUUUUGGAAAGUUAAGUUCAAGAACAAAUUUUUUUAAAACCUUGAAAAGGGGGAAGGAUCACACAGUUUCAUCAUUUAUGCCUUUUGGUGGACUUGAAUUUCUUUAUAUUUUAUAUUUAUUUUUAGCUUAUUUGGAGAACUGUUAUUUACCCAAAAUCUUAUCAGGAAGCUAAAUUUUAAAAAAUGAGUUGCCCUUUAUGUCUUGUUUAAGAAUCAAUUAAAAUUAAGCUUUUAAAUACUCUCACCCCUGGAUGGGUCUUAUAGAUUUACCAAUUUUGACCUCUUGGUGGAAUCAAAACUUGAAUUUUGCAUGAGUUAGUUUUUAUAAGCUAAGCUAACCAUGACUGGGAUUUUCGGGACUAAGAAUAAAUUGGGUAUUUUUUUUAUCUUGAAGUUUAAUCCUUGUAUCGCAGUCCAAAGAGGAGUUCUUUGAGGUCGUUGAAUGACCCCUAGGAUUUCCACCUUUAUUUUUCUUCUAUCAACUACUGCUGCAUAAGGAUCGAGGCCCUUCGGAUCUACUUGGAGAAGCCCCCAUGUAUGGUCCGGCAGGUUAAUGCUUGAUUGGUUUGGCAACGUGAUUGAUGUUGUCAUGAAGCUUUGUGAGUCUUUUGAUUGAGGAGAUCCAACAAUAUAAUGCUUGCUUGAUUGGUUUGGGCACUGGACUAGUGUUGUCUUGAAACUUUGACCAUCUUUUGAUCGAGGAGUUUUGGACAGAGCCUUUUCUCCUUUGCCUUAUUUUUAUUUUUUUAUUUUUCUUUAUGGUUUAUGCAUCAUGGAGUUCUUCUGAGUGUUUACCCAAUAUUUUAUUCUUUCUUUAUACUAGUGCUCUUUUGGGUGUUUAGCCCAAAAAUUUACUUAUUUUUUUUUAUUUUUUUUAAAAUGACCACCAUAUGGAUUGACUUCUUGGUUGUCAAGAUGAUUUCUUGGAAUGUGUGUGGCUCCUUGAUGUUUGAUGGAUGCCCCUUAUAGGCAAUGCUUUCUUUUAGUCUACCCCUUUUAGAAGAUCGGCAGUACUUGUUCGUGACAUAUUGCUUUAAGAUUAGGUAAGAAAGUUGCCGAAUUCUUUAGAAAUGCGAUCAUCUUUCCUAUUCUCUAGAUAUACAAGAGGUCCUAAUCUUGGUCACAUUGGAUUUCUCUUGCUUCUAGGUCUGUAUUUCAUCAACGGUGAUUGAUGAAUUCCCAUUGAAUCCCAUUUUGAAUCACUCCACUUGAACCUUGUUUUUUUUGGACUUUUGGAAUUACUUUGUUAGGCGUAUUUUUAGUCAUUAUAGGAGAUUGAAUACAUUUUGGUAAGUGUGCCAAUGAAUUGAAAGCAUGAUCAAACAAGUGUUUUACCGACCUCAGAUUGAUGUAUUAACAAACAGUGGAUAAACUAUGCAAACUCAAGGAGCACAAUUUUUGAAGAUAUUUGUAAAGAUAUCCUCCCGAUGUGAUAUUUGUAAAGAUAUGCUCCCGAUGCUCCCAAUGUCAUAUGAAGGUUCCAAUAUGCUUUUAGAGUCAUGUUCGUCGGUCAUCCCAUAUAUAACCUGGUUGACGACCUAUGAUAGCGGGAGGUGUCAAAUCAUCUCAGUUCUAGACAGAUUCUAGAAUAUAUAUACUCCUAAGGCCAAUAAACGUCUCUCCACAUGAUAUUGGAGGAAUUUGAUGCAGUACGACAUGAUUUCCAAUCGGAUAUCGGUUAAGUGUAUGCAUCUUGACUAAUGAUUGAUGAUAGAAGAUGUCAAACCAUCUCAAUUCGAGACAUAUUCUACGAUACAUAUACUUCUGAGGCUAAUAAAUUCCUCUCCACAUGAUAUUGGAGAAAUCUAAUGCGGUACAAUAUACUUUUUUAUUGAUCGUCGGUCACAUAUAUGUAUCCUGACUAAUGAUUGAUCAUAAGAUACCAUCAAGCCAACUGUGGGAUACAUAUACUUUCAUGGCCCAUAUAUGCCUCUCCAUAUGAUAUUGGAGGAGUUUGAUUCAAUGCGAUAACUCUUUUAAAUCCAUUGCCUACCAAGGAUAAAACGUUUGACAAACGAUGCAUAAAGGAAACCUCACCAUAUGAUAUCACAAUAAGGUGUAUCCUUACAGAUAUAUUACAUGAGGAUUCAUACGCCUCUAGUCCAAGAAUUAUACAAGUUGGACAUCAUUCGAAAUUGGCUUAACCCAUCAUCCGUAUUCAUUGGCAGUCAAGAUAUGCCUUGACCAAUGCCCCGAAAUGUGACGUUUGCAAUUGGUUCAAAACCUUUGGGAAUUCAUAUUUGAGGCAUUAUAUUCCUCACCUUGACGUUCUACAUCAUUUGGAGGUAGUUUAGCCCAUCAUAUGUAUUCAUUAUCAGUCAAGAUAUGCCUUGACUAACGCCCUCAAACUUGAUGUUUGGGAUUGGUCUGAAACUUUCGAGAAUUUAUAUUUGAAUAAUUAUAUCUCUCACCUCAAGGUUUCACAUCAUUUGGAGGUGGUUUAAGCCAUCAUCUGUAUUCAUCGACAGUGAAGAUAGGUCAUAUACACCGUGUGUUAGAAAAUAGCCACGACGACCCCAGGUUACCAAAAUUGAGAUUUUUCUACAUCUACGAGGAAUUUUUUCGUGAGACUUGGACCAUUAGACUGCUAAAUAGAUGCCCCAUCACCCUUAAGAGUGCAGCACCAUAUCAUUCUCCUAAGAGAAAGCAGAAAGCUCUGCAACAAUUGUCAUAAAUAUUAUUUAGAAAGCUUAACCGACAGUGGAUAGUAUCUCCUAAUAUACAAAGAAUCUUUGUGUGUUGUAGCCCCUCCACAUGAUUAUCAUGUCCCCAGGGUUUAUAAUUCCCAAUGGUGGAAGCGAUCGUACCCGCAACCCUUUGAUUUUUUUUUUGUUGUAAUUUACAACAGAGAAGGUUCAACUUCAGCGGAUCAUAUCUCUCUCAUCCGUGACCCAUUCGAAGUGGGGCUUGAACUAUUAUGUUCAUCUCUUAGUCAUCUACUAUAUCUCCAAAUUUUAUGGUCAAAAGACACGUCAUUAACAAGGGGCAAAAGAAAUACGAAGAUAUGUCAAUACAAUAUGCAACAAACUGACUGACGAUGGAUAAGAAUAACUUAAUUUCUUAAUUUUCUUAUGCGAUAUCUUGUACAAUCUCGGUAGCCAUGCAUUCAAAUUCAAAUACCAAAUAAGAUAAAGACCAAUGAAGCACAAAGUUAUCAUCAAAGCCACCUACAACUGCAAUUGAAUUCGAAUAAAGAUAGAUGUCUCGAUUCGAAUUAUAGAAGAAAAAGAUAAGUGGUCAAUGGUUUGGAUGAGGAUCAUGAGUUUUAAUGAUUACCAACUCAUUAUGUCUAUAUAAGCCCCACUUACUAGUAAGAAAAAGAGGACGAAAUAGAGAGAUAGAAGUGACUGCAGUUAUCUGCUAUCAGUUAAGGAAUAAGCCACUAACUUCGUUGUUCUUUGAUCCAAAGUGUAAGGAAUAAGCCACUAACUUUGUUGUUCUUUGAUCCAAAGUGUAAGGAAUAAGCCACUAACUUUGUUGUUCUUUGAUCCAAAGUGUAAGGAAUAAGCCACUAACUUUGUUGUUCUUUGAUCCAAAGUGCAAGAAUCAGAUACAAAGAGAGAAGCUAUUUAUCUAGACGCACAUGAAGCCCCGAUUCGAAGAAGGAGCAGACCACAAACACUACUCGCUGUGAUUAGUGAAAGUAGGACUAGGGUGAUUUAGUACAGUACACACUUUUUUUUUUGCACCGACUAGAACACUUACAAUGAUCAUCUACACUUAUUUUAACUCAAAAGAAAAAAUAAAACGGUCAUCACUUGCUGCCACUAAAAACAAUAAACUUUAUUAAAUAAAGAGAAGAGGAAAGCAAAACUGCGAAAUAACGCACUAUAUGAAUAAAAAUAAGAAUGCCAGAAGAUUACUUCAACCGGUCUUUCAAACGCCCUACACUGGGUCUCCUCCUCCAAUGGCACGUGGAUAAAAAAAUCAAUCUCAAAUCUGGAAAGUUUUGGCCAUCUCCUGAGAGCUUAGGAACCUCAAUAAAAUAAAUCUCAACCUGAGUAUAAGUAGAGUGUACCACUUUCUCUACCUAGGUGGGGCAUGCCACCCCUUACAACUUAAUUUAUAAGAAAGAGAAUAUUUAGGAGAGAGAAGAAGAGAGCCUAGAGUGGGGCAUGUCCCCUAGAAAGAAAGCAGGAAGAGAGAAGAAAGAGAGGCGUGCAGAAAAUGGGAGCAGAUGCCCCUAUUUAUUAGGUUUCUUAAGGGAUAAGGUUCCAUAGAGAUAGCCAUCAACAAAAUUUGAUCUGAUCUUUUGAUCUUGGAGACCUAUGAGGUGAGAGAUCUGAGCCAUCUAUUCCUCAGAUCAGCCAUCAUGUUCAAAAGGAACGAGAAGAACCUUAUCAUUCAGUUCCUAGGCCCUUAUCCCAUCAAAUAAGAGAUAUUCUUAAAUAUCAUAUACUUUGUAUGUAAUCGAUAAAUUUAUAUUUCUUUAACCAAUUGAAUAUUUCAAAAUAUAUUUUUAAUUUCAAAUAACUAACUCCCAUAUCUUAAGGGAUAUCUUCAAAUUUGAAAUCAAAACCAAAUGCGAUCUCAUGGGGUUGGUACGACCCUCAUUGCCCCCUCAAAGAGUAGCGUCGGGGCUUUAUUCUACAAAAAGUAGAUUUUGUUAAAAGUGGGGUGUGGCUCCCUCAUAACCCGCCACUAAAAGUGGCGCUUAGCUUCAUGAAAAUAGGAAGCCUCCACAAAGUGGGCAGUGACCCUGGUGGCCCCACUAAAAGUGGUGUGCCACAAGGGUCACAUAGUGGUCCCCCCCAUGAAAACAAAAUGGGUCCAGUAGGCCCCCCAUGAGAGCUUCUUGGUAUCUUAACUUAGAAGCUACGGCUCAUGUCUCAAACACCAAAGAAGACUUUCGCACUUUUACUCUCAUCGGGCUGAGAUAUCAACAUAUCUAUAUGGGAGAAAACCAAAAGAUCGAUAUCCUUGGAGUUAAGGAUUUUGAGCUUAAAUUGAAGAGUGUGAGCGUCUUGAUCUUAAAGUAAGUACGUUAUGCUCCCGAUAUAAAGAAGUGCUUGGUUUCGGUUUUCAAUAUGGCUCUAGCGGGAUUAGUGACCACUUGCAUUGAAGAGAAGCUGGUAGUCAAAAUGGGUGAUAAUAUUGUUAUGACUAGACUUCUUGUAGAUAGUUUAUUUACUAUUGAAAUAAAAGAAAAACUUGCUUAUGUCUCAUCCCCUAAUGAUUUGGAUACUACCCUAUGGCAUAUGAGGUUAGGACACAAUAAUUACAAAAGAAUAGAAAGAUUGAAAAAGGAUAGUAUUUUUCAAAAUUAUGAGGGUGAUUUAUCGAAAGUGUGUGAGUCUUGCGUGCAAGGAAAACUAACAAGGAAAAAUCGGGGCAAAAAGAGCUACUAACAUUUUAGAAAUCAAUUAUAGUGACAUAUGUGGUCCUUUGAAUGUUGCUACUAAAAACUACAAAAGAUAUUUCAUCACUUUUACAGAUGCCACUCUUGAUAUGGCCAUGUGUAUCUUAUAUACACAAAAUUCAAAGCCUUAGAAACGUUUAAAGUAUAUAAAGCCAAGGUAUAAAAUCAAACUUACUUAAAAAUCAAAAUCCUUAGAACCAUUAGAGGGGGGAAUAUUCAUCCGAACUUUUCAAAGAAUUUUGUAUUGAAAACGGAAUCAUCUAUCAAUAUAUCAUGCCUUAUACUCUUGAAUAAAACAGUGUUGGAGAUGAAAUAGAACCUUGGUUGAAAUGGUAAGGAGUAUAGUGGAGCACGUUAUGCUCUCCUUAGAUUUUUGGGGAGAAGCCGUGUUGACGGCAUUUUAUAUCCUUAAUCGGACUCCCAAAAAAGCCAUCCUACAUACUCCUUAUGAAAUAUUCACCGGUCAUGCUUCCUCCCUUGCGCAUCUAAAUGUUUGGGGCUGCUCAGCCCAAUUCUUAAUCCUACACCAAAAUAAGAUCAAAUUUCAACCAAAAACUAUAAAGACCAUUUUUAUUGGUUACCCAGACUAUAGUAAGGGGUAUCGAUUCUACAACCUUGAAACCGGGCGGUUAUUAAGAGUUAUGAUGCUCAUUUCUUCGAGGAAGAAUUCCUUGAAGCAAAAUUGAGUCACAAACAAGUCGACCUCUUUGAGGUCGCAAGAAAUAAGGAUGUGCUUCGAGAACCCGAAUCUGAAACUUCAAAUAGACUUGAGCCUGAAUUUGAACCGAGUCAAAGAGACUGAAGUAGUAGACCACCUUUUAACCUAAAAGACUAUGUCUACCUGGGGGAACACUAUGAUAGAAUUGGGGAUGAUCCAGAUUCUGAACCUCAAAACCUACCAUGAAACCUUGUCUUGUCUUAAAAAAGAGUAUUGGAUAGAAGUCAUAAAGGAUGAAUAUGCUUAUAUUAGCCAAAACCAUAUUUUGGAAUUAGUGUCACGAUCUCAGAAACGUAAGGCCAUAGGAUAUAAGUGGAUUUUCAAGAAGAAGUUAAACUUGGAAGGGAAAGUAGAAAAAUACAAAGCUAAGCUAAUUGCAAAAGGAUUAACCCAAAAAGAAUGGAUAGAUUAUCAUGAGACAUUUUCCCUAAUUGUUGAAUUUCCAUCCAUCAGAAUCCUAAUAACAAUAGCAGCCCAUUUUGAUUUUGAGGUUCAUCAGAUGGAUAUCAAAACAGCCUUCCUAAAUGGAGAUUUAGAAUAAGAAAUCUACAUGAGUCAACCCGAGCGAUUUGAGGAAAAAUGAAAGGGAAACCUAGUGUGUAAGCUUAACAAAUCCCUCUAUGGCCUAAAACAAGCAUUGCAUCAGUGUUACAUAAAAUUUUAAGAGACCCUAACCUUUGUGGGGUUCUCUACGAAUAAUGAAGACUACUUUAUCUAUCAAAAUGUCAGUGGGAGUGAUGUGGCUUUCAUUUCCUUGUAUGCGAAUGAUAUGCUAAUUGUUAGUAGCUCAAUUGCCCUAGUAGUAGAGACUAAAACUUUUUUUGUACAACACUUUGACAUGAAGGAUCUUAGAGAAGCUUCAUAUGCGUUGGGUAUCAAUAUAAUAAGAAACAGAAAAGAUAGAACUAUCCAACUUUCCCAGACAACCCACUGCAAAAGGAUAUUGGAAAAGUUUGAUAUAGAUAAGUGUAAGCCCAUGUCUACCCAAUAGCCAAAAAGACAAAGCUUAAUAAUAAGAUGUGUCCUACUAAAUAUAUUGAUAUAAGAGCCAUAGAGAGAAUGCCUUAUAGGAGCAUAGUUGGAUCCCUGAUAUAUGUCCUAAUGGGAACAAAGCCUGAUUCAUCUUUCUUCAUGAGCAUGGUUAGUUGAUUCCAAUGCAAUACUGGAGAGGAGUAGUGGAAGGCGGUUAAGAGAAUCCUCAGAUAUUUAAAAGAGACCAUGAACUAUGCGCUUAUGUACAAAGGAGCAACUGAAAUAGCAAUUGGGGGGUAUUCAAAUACAAGCUAUCUUGCGGAUCUAGAUGAUGUGAAGGCCACAUCUAGAUAUGUGUUUAUGCUUGGAGGGGGUGCAGUUUAUAGGAACUCAAAGAAACAAGAUGUGGUGGCAUUGUCCAACAUGGAGGCUGAAUACGUGGCAUGUUGUUUAGCUGCCAAGGAGGCCGUAUGGAUUAAGAAGUUUAUUAAUCAACUUAUUUUUUAUCCCAUGCGUUGUGAGAGAGUAAGGAUUUUAUGCUAUAACACGGUAGCAAUUUACAUAUCAAAUAAGCUAUGUUUUCAUAAGAAAUUCAAGCACAUAAAACCAUAUUUCUGUCACUUGAGGAGUGAGGUGAGACUAAGAGAAAUCGAGAUUAGCUAUAUAUUCACAGAUUUGAUGAUUGUAAAUCCUCUAACAAAAGGGAUCACCCCUAAUGUUUUUGCAAUACAUGUGAGAGAGAUAGGGAUGAGAGAAAGUGAGGAAGAGAGAAUGUAAGACCUUCAAAGGUCAAGUGGGAGAUGUUGGGUGAGUGUGGUCAUUAAAGGCCUUAUUAGUGCUUGUAAUGAAACAUCUGAUAUAAUGGAACAUGAACUUAGUGGGAGUGUGGUCCCUUAUGGACCAUACUAAGCAAAUAACAUUUGUUGAUACCGAGCUAUGCUUGACGGUCUAGGUUAGUCGGUUGGGAAAAACUUAUGUUACUUAGGUAUAAAAAACUAUUCGAUAAAGGGUUCUAAUAGGUCAUCCCUUGAUGAGGUCAUAGUAUGUCAGGAUGAGUAAGCAGAGGGACCGUGUGACCAUUGUGUGUGAAGGUGGGCUUCUGAUACGGGGGCCAAAGCCGUAUCUAUAUACACCACACAACAUGCAUAAUGAUAGUCGUUUCGAGAAAGCAAACUACCUUUUAGGAUGAAGCUUAUGUACGUGCGAGAGAUACCCCUAUGCACCGUAGGAGCUGUCAUCGCAUCAGGUCCAGAUGACCUUGACACGUCUCUAGGGCAAAACAUGAAAUCCAUAAAUUGGGAUUUCAUAGACUGUAGGUACCCACUAAUGAGCCCCUGCAUAGACUGUGGGUCACGAAAAAUACUAUGUCGGUUGAUAAAACAAGUGUGGACCGUAGUCCACGAUUGAAGGUGGAGUGCCCCCAAAAAAUGUUUAUUCCUAGACCAUAUGGAUCAUUAUCCAAUCUAAUGAAUUUAUUUGUGUUUAUUUUAUGAUGAUAUGAUCUUAGAUUUUUUAUUUAAAUUUUUUUAGAUCUCUGGAUAGAAAAAUGGAAAUAUUGAUUUUUCAAUGUUUUAAAUAUUCAAAUUAAUUCGAAUAUUUAUUAAUUUUAAAUAUUUAGAAAUAGCAUCGGGGCCCAUUGUGCACAUAGGCCCACCAUGGCCUAAAUUGGCCACCUCAUGAGUGCACGCCCCACUUUUAAGGGUUUUCCUAUUUAAUAGUGUUGAAUUGAUAUGAGUAAUAACUUUGGCUUGGAAAAAGUUAUUAUGAUAUUUGGAAAGGUGAUUUGGCUUGAGGAAGAUUUGAAUGAAUAUUUAAAAGCUUGAUAAAACUUAUGCAUACCUUGGAUAAAGCACAAUUUUAUGAUUAAUAUUAUCUUAUUUAAUUUAUAUUGAUAGGAUAAUCGGUAAAGGAAACAGGGUGAUAAAUGUUCUACAACCUUCCAUAGCAUGUUGAUAGCCCAUCUAUGGCAUGGAAGGCUCAAAUCUCUCACCCCACAAGUCACUCAUGAUCAACAGUCCAUAUUCAAGCCACAAGAAGAGGCAAGUCAUAGAAAUCUUAAUAAACCCUUAUCCUAUUUUUUGCACUAUAAAAAGAUGACCCAUUGCCCAUAAUUCUCUACACACCAAUUUCUCUAUUCUCUCUAACUAUUUCUCUCUCUUUGAUAAGAAUAAGGGGCACGCUCCAACCCUAGAAUUCUCUCUCUAGACCAUACAAAGGGGGAACGCCCUACCUAGAUGGUGUUAUAUCUCCCUCUCAUCUUGCCUUGAUGAACAUAAGGGUUGGGUAGUUGCAAGUAGAUUCUAUCUUGAUUGAACUAGGUUUUACGGGUUUGUACCUAAGUUCGAAUUUUGUAAGCAUGAGGAGUUCAUAGUUCCAUUAGAGGGUUUGCCUUGAAACUUGCUUUCCCAUUGAGAUUGAAGGUUGAUUGUUAAUCCCCCGCCAUCGGAUGGUGUUAACUUGGUGUGAGGUGUAAUAAGCCCGGUUGAGGUAAUCUCCGGCAUUCUUUUUUUUAUUUCUUUCCUUUUCAAUUAUAUUGUCUUUACAUUUCUAAGCAUGAGAGAAGUACUUAUUAUUUUCUUUGUUUAAAAAUAAUUAGUCUAAUGGCAUCAAGGUUUUAAGAUCUUGGAUUUGUUAGUUUUACCUUUAUUUUUUCUUGAAGCAAUAAUUAUUGUAACAGUACCACUUGUAAGUAAUCUUUGUCGAAAAGUUUAUAUAAGGUUGCAACCUUAUAAUGUAGAGCUACGGAUGCACCUCAAAAAUCCAUCGGAAAAGGUAGUUUUAAUGUUGAAAAACCCUUUGAUUGAUCAUCUCGAUAUCGAGAUGUAUGACCAUGAAAAACAAAAAGAUUUUAAGUCCCAGAAAUAGUGCAUUUUACAACAUACUAUCUAUACCGUCAAUUUUCAAUAGUUUCACAUGUUUAUAAAUCUACUUGAUUUUAACCAUUUUUUAAAUUUAAAAUUUUAUAAUUACAUAUAAAAAUAGAUUUUAAGAUAAUCCUAAGAAUAUUUUACAUCAAAAUUAUAUACCAUACAAAAAUUUGAAGGCGCACCUUACCUCUACAGCUACGGAUGCAUCCGUAUGUCAACUGCACCGUUAUUAGAAUGGUUGGGUUGUUUUUUUCAAACAGAUCAUGGUGUCGAGGAGAGGGUUAGUGAUGCCCACUUCCUAGUAUGGGUGGUCGUAGGCCGAGUCAUCUAUGUAACGUGUAUAACGCCUUCGUGAAUGUGGUCUUGAACUGCAUGCCUUAGGCUAAGGCAUUCUAGGUGUUUGUUUGGGGCUGUCUUAAAGUACCACAAACCACCAAGGGGUAGUUGUGGACAUGAAUCAUACUACCGAACUAGAGUCCCGAGGAGGUGAAACCUUGGAUUUAUGGCUUUUCAAAGGGUCUUUUUGUCGACCUAACAAAAAAAAGAUAAGAAAUAAGUUGAAACGGUUGCCCUCCAAGUAAAAUCUAUUGGGACGAUCAGCCAAAUAAACAUGCAAUACAAUAACAGCUGAAAUUCCAAAAAUCACCAAAACUGGGUGGAAUUGAGGAAAGCAACCUUAAAUUAGGCUCAAAAUUUGCCGAUCCCUUUAAGAUGAUGAGAUGAAGCCCUAGGUUAUGAAUGAAGGAAAUACGAGCUAGUUGUAUGCUCAAGAUGGCAAUCGGGUGGCCUAGAAGAGACUAUGGUCAAACCUGCUCAAAACUAUAAUAUGAGGAUCUUAAUAAUCUAAGGUUGUUACCCUCCAAAUGUUACGUGAUCUUACAAUAGAUUUUCAAAAUUUGACCAAUAAAGUUGAAAGCCCAAAUGGGUGCAUAAGUCGGCCCUCAGAAACAAAGGAGCCGUGUAUAAUCUGUAGCCAAAUGGUCCAAAACUUUCACGAUGGAAAGGCGCAAAAUGACACAAGUCCAAAAUCCUAAAUUUGAGCUCAAUUAGAGAAUGAAUGGCCUGUAUCAAACCUUUUUUAUCUCUUUCUCAAGAGCCUAGAUUGGGUAUAACCCUCUCAACAGGCCCAAAUUUACAAAAGAGCUAUAAGAUAUCGGCCGUCAAAUGUGUUGAAACACUUAUAGAAGAAAAGCACAAGCUCAGAAGCUUAAGUUUCAAAUUUGGGGUCAACCCGCCGUGGGGAAGCGACAUUUCUAUAGCAACUGUUAACAGACCACCAAAGGUUCACAAACUUUGAUGAGAAGUGCACAAUGUGGGCGUGGUCUACCAAUGACGAACAAGUUUCCAACAACAUUCAACUUUUCUUCUUGUGGCCACAACUCAAAAUUCCUAUGGCCAAAGAGCUCAAAUUUGGCCAGUCAUGAUAGCGGUGGAGACAGAGGUGGUGGUGGUGAUGCUGGUGGUGGCAGUGGCAAUAAUGCUGGAGCAGUAAAGGUGGUGGUGGUUGAGGGUAGGCGGCAGUGGAGAUGGUAGAGUGGUGGUGGUCGUGCAGUAGUGGUAGUAGUGGUAAGGUGAUGGUGGCUGCUAGGCAUUGGUAGUGGUGGUGGCCACUAUGCGGCGGUGGUAGAGGGGGCUAGGCACCAAUAGUGGUGGUGGUAUGGUAAUGGUAUAUUAGUAGUGGUGGAGAGAGAGAAAGAGAGAGGGAGAGCCAAAUUGAAUUUUUUGAAAAACAUGUCCAAGUUCUUUUUAAAAAAACUAUAAUUCAGGAGCCCAAUUGCCAUCAGGAAUCAGUUCAAGUUUGCGAAUCAAACAUUCCCUGAGGUCAAAUUACUAGUGAGAAAACUUCAAAUAGGCUCAAAUUGCAAUUUGGUUGGGAAUUCAAAUGGUGCCUUGCUGGUCUAUCAAAACAGACCCUGCACAAACAAAUCAAUGGGAUGUGUGGACGGGCAUUCGGGUACGUGUGUUUUAACUUAGAUGCGGCAGAAGACAAUGACAAAGUGAUUAGGUUAGUUUAUCAGCCCUUUUACCAACUACCAAAAGUCUCCACAAGAACAAUCACCCGCUGCAAAAUGAUGGAAUCUACUAACAUCUCUCACAGUGAUUUUCCUGCAAGUAACCAAAGACAUGUAUUUGAGAGCAUCAUGGCAGUCACCACACACCCUAAGGUUCUUAAAUAUUUGUAUCGGACUUCCAUCGCAUGUGCUCAGAAGGCCGAAAGCCACAGCAAUUCUCUCGCUAUGGUGGCAAAGGAAUCCUUCCCUCUCUUCAUCAUCCACAUUAUGAAGGGCAUGACUUGUUUGUGGAACAUACCCUGCUACUUUUAUCGAAUCAAUCAGUUCAUCAAGUUUUUCGUAAAUCGGCUUCUUUUGUGGGUGUGAUUCAUCUCGAGACCCAAACACAUGCGUAACCCUCCCAAUCUCGAUCCAACUAAGUCCAGGCAUUUUCUUUAUGCCACUGUCUCUCAUCUUUUCUCUUACUGUAGUCACCUUAUCCCAUCUACCUGAAAUGGCGUACAUGUUGGAGAGAAGUACAUAGGUGGCAUCGUCUUCUGGUUCCAAUUUGAGGACAUUUUCGGCAGCAAAUAAACCCAUUUCGAGAUUAUUGUGAAUCCUGCAAGAACCAAGCAAAGCCCUCCAAACCAAUGCAUUUGGUUGCAUAGGCAUUCUGGUUAUGAAGUCCAAAGCGUCAUCCAACCUACCUGCUCGGCCUAAGAGGUCAACAACGCAUGCAUAAUGGUGCAUAACAGGCUCAAUUCCAUGAUCAGAGAACAUGGUGUCGAAGUAUCGAAUGCCUUCUGUCACUAGACCAGCAUGACUGCAUGCGUAUAGUACACUAACAAAUGUUACCUCAUUUGGGCGAACGCCACCUUCUAUCAUGUCAUCAAACACUCUUAAAGCCUUCUUUCCCAUUCCAUGUUCUGCAUACCCAUCAACCAUAGCACUCCACAAUACUCGAUCUCUCACUGGAACGUCAUCGAAAAUCUGACGAGCUUCCUCUAUGAAUCCACUCUUUGCGUACAUGUCCACAAGAGUGCCAGCCACAAACGUAUCUGACACAUGACCAUGUUUCAUGACUUGGGCAUGGUGUUGCCGUCCAUAAACAUGGUCAGAGAGCUUGGCACAUGAGCUUAUAACACUUGCUAAAGAGAAAGCAUCAGGUUUCACACCAGACCUGUGGAGCUUGCAAUAAAAUUCAAUGGCGUCUGCAUCAUAUCCAUUACGGGAAAAUCCAGUUAGAAUUGAUGAACACGAUACAUCAUCUUUAUGCAUCAUGUUUUUGAAGACUCUACAUGCAUCUUCCAUCUUGCCCAUCUUGGCAUACAUGUGCACAAGAGCCCCCUCAACAUGAAGUAUUGAAUCACAAUUGGAUUUGAUGGCAUGGCCAUGAAUUGCAGGACCAUGAGCUCUAUGGCUAUUGGAGCAUGCCACGAUCAUGCUUGCCAAAGUAAAAGCAUUAGGAAGCAACCCCAAAUUCAGCAUCUCAACAAAGAUCUCCAUGGAUUUAUCAGAAUCCCCAAUUUGAGCAUACCCACCUAUAAUCACUGUACAUAAAACUACAUCUACAUGAGGGGCCCGAUCAUAGAGAAUAAGAGCUUUUAACAUGUCGCCACACUUUGCAUAUAGAUCAGCGAGAGAGACUCUUACUGCAUAAUUAUCUUCGAAACCCAAUUUUAUAGCGUAACCAUGGGCUUGGGAACCCAGUUUCACAGCCUCCAUGGAUGCACAGGCCUUAAGAACACUAGUGAAAGUGAACUCUGAUGGCCUAACCUCUGAUUCGAUCAUUUGAGAGAAGAGCUCGAGGGCCUCCAAAGAGAACCCACCAUUCGAGUACCCCACAAUCAUGGAGGUCCAAGCAAACGUAUCUCCAGCCUCCAUUCUAUUGAGCACACGACACGCCUUGGCUAAGUACAUGGAUCGAGAGUACAAAACAAUUAGAGCACUACCCACAAAAACAUUCAAACCCAAUCCUGAUUUUUCGAUGAGCCCGUGCAAUUGGUGCCCAGUUUUAAACUGGCGAGCCUCUACACAAGCUCUGAGGAGGCUUCCAAAACCGAAUUCAUUCGGAUAAAAACCAGAAUUCAGCAUGAGGAAGAAGAGAGCCAAGGCUUGAUCAGGCUUGCCAUUACGGGUAUAGCCUGAAAUUGCAGAGGUCCAAGAAACUAUAUUCCUUUGGGGCAUUUCAUCGAACACCCGACGUGCCUGCAAUGUGAGGCCCGAUUGCAUGUAUUCAUGUAUGAGAGAGUUGCCAUUGUAGGGACUGAAAAUUUGGCCAGUUUUGAGGAGAUGAGCAUGGAUAUGAUGGGCCUUGAUUUGCUGAAUUGGAAUGCGUUUAUUUGGGUGUGAUUGUUGGGUAUGAGAUUGGAGUGGAAGCUUGUUGGGUGAGGGUGGGGUUUGAGAAAGAGAUGUGGAAGAGAGAGAGUGAUGAGAGAGAAUAUGCAGGGAAUGAAGGGGAAGUGGGGAAGAUAGAGAGUGAGAAGAGAUAUGAGGUUGUGUGGGGGGAGAAGUGACCAUGUUUGAAUUCGUGUGCUUUCACAGUAAUCUCUCUCUCUACAUUCUCUCUGUUUCUCUCUCUCUACAAUCUCUCUCUCUCUACAUUGUUAAAGAGGGAACAUAGAUAAGACAUGGAGGAGGAUGGAGGAGGGACAGACCAAGUGAAGAAAACUGGAGAAGGGAGACAAAAGUAGGGAAGCGCGUGGCACUCGGCUUAGCGUGCUCUCGCAGGCGUAUAUUACACAUCUAUUCCGUUUCCUCUGGCAACCGUACAUUUGAUCCAAUAACGGAUAGCGCCUUAAUAAAAAUGGGGAGCCCGAGCUGCCAGAUUAAAAAAUAGUAAGAAGUAUGGUUAGUGAUACAUUUUAAGUUAUUUUAAUUAUUAAAUUAUCCAUUCAACAAAAGUCAUUUCCUAUUAUUAAAAUUUAAAGGGUGUGGUUUGCAACCUUAAGGCGCACUUCCAAAUUUUAUUAUAAAUAUAAAUUUUAGUAUAAAAUUCUCAAGAUGGUUUGAGAAUCUAUUUUUAUCUUUAAUUAUAUAUCAAGUAGAUAUAUAAUUAUAUAAAUCAGCAUUUUAAAAUUCGACCGAGUAACUCGACCUCAGCCCAUGGGCGAGACGAGUUUUGGCCGAGUUAGUUGUACACAACAUUUUUAAGCUUGUUAGUUGUACACAAUAUUUUUAAGCUUUAAGUGUAAUAUUACUGCAAACUUGUAUAGAGACCUCUUAUGACGGGGUAUUUUAAUACAAGGCGUGACAACCAGCAAGACAUUGCUUAUUGUGUUUGUAAAAAAAAAGGCACUUGUACAUAUAUAACUAUUAUUUUUUUCAUUUUUUUUAGAAAAAAAAGAAAAAAGAGAUGGACUCACCUGAUUAACUCGUCUCGGCUGAUUAACUCGUCUUGGUUGAUUAACUCGUCUCGGCCAGGUCCAAGGUAUCUUGGUCGACUCAAUUUUUUUAACAUUGAUAUAAAUAUUUGAAAAUCUUGAAUGUAAACGGUUCAGAUAAUGCGUUGCAAUAUACACUAUUUUUAGGACUCAAAAUCGUUUUAUCUUUUCAUAUUCAUACAUCUCGAGGUCGAGAUGAUCAAUUAGAUAGUUUUCCACCAUCAAUACAACUUUUUAUGAUGGGCUGUUUGAGGUGCACGUUAAUUUUACAUUUUAAGGUUGCAACCUUGUAUAAACUUUUUCCAAAUCUAUAUAGUUGCUAAUGUUACGACGAUUAUCUGAUCUUCAUAUUAAAAAUCCUCCGGAGACUGGAAUUGGGUAUGUGCUUGAAUGGUUAACAGCUAACACUUAGCAGUGCUGCAUCUCAAGUUUAAUUCUUAAAAACUGAACUACCUAAAAAACAAAAUAAAAUCCUCCAAACACAAAUAUUGGACUAAUACAUGAGAAUGAAGAUUGGCUGAAUGUAACAAAGCUUAUUUUUUCAAGAAUUGCCGUAUUAUGCUUUACAAAUUUCGUCUUUCGGGUGCACUUGAUAGAGAUGAAAGUAAUCCAAUCAUGUGGCAGAGAGGGGACAAUGGAGAACGAAUCCCUGCCCUUCAAUCCCUACACUGCCGAGGCCUUGGAAUCAACAACCGUUGGAUGCAAUUGAGGCCCCAGCCAUCUCUUCAAGGUGAGGUUAAAAAAUAAGGCUAGGACUAGGGAUUUGGAAAGGCCCUAGUCCGAGUCAUCUCUACAGACUUGGCCAAUCUCUCAAAGACUCGGCCUAGUCAUAGGUAAAACAUAAAAAUUCAUAAAGUUUGACUGGUACUUCUAUUGAGCCCGAGAGAAUUUGGCCGAGUUUUAGAAUAUUGAAUAUUGCUUUUUUAAGGCAUGGAACCUGAACUUUCAAAUAAAAUUUGGAAGUGAAAACAAACUCUCAAAGAAAAAUGUUGUUUAAACCAAAUUGCUCCAAGGCGCUUGAGAAGAGUCUCGAGUUAAAGAAACCCACUCUUUCCAACUCUUUCUUAUGUUAAAAAGUGCUCAAAAUGAAAGAAAAUCUCUCUUAAUACAAAGAUCCUGUUAUCAUCGAAACCCUAUUCACAAUUCAAACUUCAAAGUUAAUUUUCCUACUCUCCUGGCGGUGUGUGGAUUCAAGAUGGAGAAAUAUGGAUGAGAGAGGGGAAGAUAGGGUUAGGAGUGGAUGGAGAACAAAGAGAUGAAGAGAGAGAAGGGCAGGGGAAUCAGAAGAUCAAUGAAAAUGAAAAAGAGAGGAGAAAAGAAUGCGAGAUGUGCGAACCUGCACCCAAAUUUUAAUGGUAUUGCAUGGUAUGAGACUAUUUAUCUUAGUUACAAGAGGUCACAAUUAAUCCUAGACAUUAGAUGUCAAAUUGACAUGUUUAAGAUAUGCCACCAAGUUUGAAAAUUUUAUUUUUGAACUUUCAACCUAAUGAAUGACAUUAUUACAACCACCUUAUUUGAAAUUCGACAAAAAAAAAUAAUUGUGACCUCAUUAUAUCAAAAGUACAUGAGCUCUUUAUAUACUUUUCCAAUUUAAAUUCAAUUUAAGGGAAUUGGCUGCUCCAUUCCCCAUUUUAAAAAACCGACUGUAACAGAGGCUUGUCCAUCACUAGAUUUAGGGAACAGUGGAUAGGGCUGAUAUAGAUAUAGUCUCACCAAAACUGAAUGAAUGUCACGGCUAUGGACAUAGGGUCUCAUGACUACUACGAUUAUCAUAUUCUUAUUUUAUCUUUUCUCAAAUUAUAUUUAUCGUACGGGAUUAUAUACAAUGAGACUAUUUACCUUUGGAAUAAGAAUGUCAUAAUUACUUAUAAACAUUCAUGUGAAAUUUGAUAGCUUGGGUGUGUCACAAAGUUCGAGAAAAUUCAUUUGAACUUUGAAUUUGGAUAAUGAAAUAAAUGCAGCCACCCAAUUUCACGUCCAGUGUCAAGAUUUAUUGUGACCACCUUAUAGCAAAGGUAAAUGGUCUUAUUAUAUACUUUCCUUUAUCUUAAUAUGUGUAUAUAUCUAACAAAGAUGUAUACUUUAUAAAAAAGAUAUAGUUUUGUUAGGUCUAGGCUUCAUGAAAACAAAGUAAAGCCACACCUUGAAUCCUCGUCGAGAGACCGCAGGCAUAAGAAAUCCUCAUGAUAACUCUAAAAUCAAUUUCCAACACCGACUAUAAAAUUUGAAGCUAAAAAAAAAGUACAAUCUUGUAGAUCCACCUAUUUUUAAAGCACAAUAGCUGGUCUAGAUAAUGUAUUACAAUAUACACUAUUUGAGGAUAGUAAUCUUUUUUUUUUUUUCCCAUUAUAAUAGUCAAGGCCAAGAUGUUCGAUUUGAAGUUUUCCGACGUUAGAACUGCAAUCUUCAAUAAAUGUUGGGGUGACAUUUUCUUCUCUCUCUCCUCACCAUUUCUCUCUCUUCACAUUCUCCUCGAAUUUUGCCCUUCUCUAACCUCUCAAGCUCUCUCAUGUCUCUUUUCUCUCUCUCUCUCUUCUAUCGCUCUCUACCCAAAGAGAGGCCCUUGUCUCCUUGAACAUUGAAGCCCUAGUCUCUUUGAAACAACCUCUAUGAAUCCUAGUCAUUAAUAAAUUUUCUUUGAAGCCCUAGUAUUUGUGAAGCUCUCAUUUUUUUAGUUUGGAUCUCCCCCUUUUUGUUGGUCAUUUUCAAGUGCGAUUCUCAAUUUCUCUAGUAAUUUCCCAAGCAUUGUGGUUUCUCUUUAAUUUCAGAUUAAAUGUGGGUUACUAUCUGUAGUUUUAUUGGGAAGUUUGGCAUGAUUUCUCUUUUAAUAUUUGAUAGCGAUCUUAGGGAUCCCAUUUAAGGAUUUCUUAUUUAUUUUAAAUGGCUAUGAUCAAUUUCUGUCUUUCUAGUGGGGGAUUCGUUAGUGUAUGUUUCUGAUUUAACUCCUUUUCCUGUAAUUUCAGAUUAAUUACAAAUUAAUAUUUACAAUUUCACUUGGGGAUUUUUUAUGUUAGUUGAGAAUGAGAUUGCUUUUUCUGCAAUUUCAAACUAAAUAUAUAUUAAUUCGUUGUAAUUUUAGUGAGGCAUUUGUUACUAUGUGUUAAGAAUGGGAUUGCGUUCUUUGUAAUUUCACUCGCUUUUGUGAUCUAAAUCGUCAAUUUUAUUAGAUAUGCCACAUGUUAGGAUUUACGAACCCUCUUAUAUUCAAAAACAUGAAUCCCAAAAGUUGGAUCCCGCCUAGAUCAUGUACUUAUCCAACUAGAAACAAAAUAGGUGAGAGUACGAGCGAUAAUACGAGAAAUAAAGUAUAAAAAAUACACCCGACAAGAACACAGAUUUACGUGAUUCAUUCAAGAGGACUACAUCCACGAGCACGACAAACUAAAAUCUACUAUAGUAAUGAAAUUUACAUUACAAAUUUUGAAAGAGAGAGCUACCUCUCUAACCCUCGACAAAAUUUAGUCGAAUAAACCCUUUUAGAGCCAGUCUAUCGAUCAACGCCAUUGUCGACCUCUCAUCUUGAUUCCAUGGCUAAACCACUGUCCAGGGAGAAACAAUUUCCCCAUUCCACAUCUAAACCAUUUUUCAAGAGGAAAACCUUGAGAGCAACCGAGACUUUCUCUCACUAAAAAGGGAAACCACCCAAAAUUUUCAUUGGGAAACCACCCAAAAUCUACAUAGGAACCGCUUCCCUAUAAGAAACUAGGCGCUUAAUCUACAUUUCCUUUUCACUGCUAAACCAUUUUCCAAGAGGAGAACCAAAAAUCUUCAUGUGAACCGUUUCUCUAUAAGAAACCAGCCUCUCAAUCUACAUGAGACACACUGCGAAGUUUCUCUCCAAAGAAAGUUAUCUUCUCUCUAAAGGGAAGCAUUUCCUCUUAUGCACAGGAGGCCAUUGUCCCUCUCUUUAGAGAAAACCAACUUUCCCAUCUCUCUAGAGGAAACCAACAUUCCCAUAUAGUAACUCAAAUAAAGCAGACAAAUUCUAUGCACUUGCAUCCCAUAUAUACAUAAAGUUAGAAACCCACAUCAAAUAAAAAACUUCCUAUCGAUGUUACAUAUAUCUCAAGAACCAAGAGAUAUAUUCUAAAGUCUUAAUCCUUUUGGUUUUAUAUUUCUUUUAAAAGUCUUAGUCCUUAUUCCAGGGCACUAAGUUUGGCCCAAGGCCUGGUCCUUGAUUGGGCCAGGCCUGGCCUAGGCCAAAAGCCAUGGCCCUGCACUGGCCAAACCAUCAAUAUGGCCCAAGUGGCCUGCCUAGCCAAGUGUAUAGCCUAGGCCUAAGCCCUUUGGAGCGGGUUGGGUUCAAGCUAAGCCUUUAGGAUCAUAGGCUUAGCUCGGGCUAGCCAGAACUCAUAUAGACGGGAUAGCUGGUCCAGAACUCCCGGACGGCAUUACCAUGUGUAGCAGGUGGCAUCUUUGUUUUUGCCUCUAAUUUUUAUAGUUGUUGGAAUCAACUCUCUCUCAGAGUCGCAGGGCAGCAUGACCUCUCAACACAUGCCAACCUUCUUAUCACAUUUGCAGCCCUUUUUCCUCAUUGCAUUGUGGCUUGCAACUAACACCCAUUCGCAAUGUCUUGGAGGCUACUGCAACCCUUUUUCAUCGCCUGGACAGACUAAAAGUCCCACCCAUCAUAUAUCUAGAAAAUGAGGUUGAUGACCCACCCCAUCAUGAGCUACCGAUGUAAGUUUUCAUUGACUAUUCCAAAACUACUAACUAUUUCUAAAACUACUAACUAUUCACUAUUGAUCUACCUAUAAAAAAAAGUAUGGAAAAAAUGGAGAGGACUAUUUCUUAUGUAUCAAACCAUAAGUAUUUCAUUAAUCCAUAAAUUAAACAACAAACCGUUGGAAGUACCCAAAUAUACAAAGUGACUAUUUAUUUUUUUGUAAUAAAAAGAAUUUCUUGAACUUCGUAACACACUCUAAGCCAUCCGAUUUGAUAUCUAAUAGUUAGGAGUAAUUAUCAUUUCUUUGUAAUAAAGAUAAAUAGUCUCAUAGUGUACAAUCCCAUAUUAUUUACUUUUAGUAGAAGGAUGUCUCAAUCACCCUUGUCCGUCGAAUUUCAAAUCGGGUAGUUGUGAAUGUGUCAUUGACUAGACUUAAAAAUUCAAAAAAAAAAUCUAGAACUUUGUAACACACCCCAAUCCAUCCAAUUUAACAUCUAAGGAUUAGAACUUAUAAGUAAUUGUGACCUCCUUGUAAUAAAGGUACAUGACUUAUUAUAUAUAAGCCCAACGACUCAUAUUCAAUCUGGGACAAUCUAACAAACAAGACCAUAUUUCGUAUUUUAAUUUUAAUUUUUUUUCUAUAAAUCCAAAUCACUAUUGAUCUACCUAAAAACGAGUAGUAGUUCCAGGAUAUCCUUUAGGCAUUUUAAUAAUUAUUUGUCGGAUUGUGUGGCCUUUAAAGCCCGUGAAAGCAUGUAAAUGUAAUAAAUUAUAGUGGAUUAUACUCUUCAAUUGGAGUUUGUUGUGGUUGAUUGCCCUAAGGUUGGGUAGCCUAUAGCCCAGGUCAUGUUUAAAACCCUUACCCCUAGGCAUGCGGCACUAUCAUUGAGGGUUUAUAAAUGGCCAUUCCUUAUUCAGGUAUGAUAGACGCCCAGGGAUGUUGUUUGUAGGUCAGGGGAGUUUUGUGGGCUCUUAUGUCCAGAUUUAUGCUUGUAAGAGUGAGGGCAAAAUCCUUAACAACACUUCCAUGCGUCAUGAAAUGUGACAGUCACAUUUUGGAGAAGCAAUCCUAUAUAAAAGAAUACAUAUACAUUUGCAUAGAUAAAGCCCCAUUACAAUAUAAUAAUAUAUGCAUUUUCACUUGCUCUUAAGGGGUGAAACAUGUAAUACACAUACUAAGAUUAUAGUACUAUUACUUAUUGGCAGCAUUUGACGAGUCAAUCAUGAACUCAUGUAUUUGAUUGUUGGUCACAAAUCUCGUUGAGCUAGUUUAAUAAGACUAGUGAAUUAUGGAGCCUGACAUAGGUGAAAUACUUUGAUAGCCACUUGUUUUUAAAUUUUUUGGUACCAAUCUAUGUUUAAGUAGUAUUUUUGUGUGUUCUAGUUUUUUGUAGAACUCAAAAAGUUUUGUUUUUAAAUAAAUUUGUAUUUAUGUGAUUUUGGAUAUUUUAAAAAUUUUAAAAUAUUUUAAAUGGCAUAAGAAGUCUUGAAAGGUACUUCAAUAAUUUUAAACAAAGAGGUAUUUUCAAAAUUGUAUUUUAAUUGGGUGGGAUAGACGGGAGGGGGGAGGGGGGGCCAACGGCCUAGCCCCUACACAUGUGGAGUCCAUUUGGUGUGGGAUCUGGGCCCACAUUGGCCACAUGCCCCACAUAGGGUGACGCCUCAUGUUUUCCAUUAUUUUAGGAACCUUGGGAGUGUUAUUUUAAUGAAAUUUAUUAUUUGUUGAAAAUAUUUUUUUAGAAAACCUUUUAUGACCUUCUAUGAGACCUAGGUAUAUUUGACCAUGUUUUUCUAUUAUUUAAAUUUCUUAUUAUCUGGUGAAAAGUCCAGAUAGAUUAAAAGUGGAUAAUAUUCACUUUAUAUUAAGAUGGUUGAUCUUAGCGAUGGAUGUUCACUUUAGAUUAACAUGGUUUGCACAAUCUUAUACCUCUCUCUAAGAAUGCGUGGUGGCAAAAAAGAAGUUCAAUGUUGUUAACUCUCAAUAAUUAAAGGUAUUUUUUUGUCAUUUAGUAGUUCUAUGUCACUAAUUUGGAACAACUAACAAUCUAUUCCUUAUUGUGCUUUGGCCACUAAAUUUUCUUUUUUUUUCUUGCUUAUUUAAAGGUUUACAUUAACUAACGAGUGGCAUUAUGAGAACUGCUUAGGACAUUUAACUGGAUGCAAAUUACCAAAAUGUCUAACUUAUUCAUGGUUCAUGGGUAGUUUUAGUCGGUGUUUUAAAAUGAGUGAUGCGGCCAAGCCAUAAAUUUUAAAGUUAUAAAAUACUACAAACUCAAAGUUCAUGAAGAUUAAAGAGUUUUAAAGUCAAAUUCAAGAAGAGUCAAUAAAAUCAUCACCUUCACGGCUCUUGAAACUCUCAAUUUGUUGUCAAAAGUUAGCCUUAACGUCCUCAAAUCAACACCCAAAAAAUACAAAUCAACAACCAAACAUCAACAAAUACACAAAACGAAGAACUUCAACAAAUAAAAUUUCCGCCCAAUUUUUUCAAUCAAUCCAAUAAAAUACACAAAUGUAGCCGAAAAAUAUUGUUUGGGGGUUUAAUACCCCCCAAACCCUUUUCCCCCCAUUUCGAAGGUCAAAAGGGCCUUAUUACCUCUGCUCUAGGGGUAUAGUUUUGAAAAGAAUGGCAAACAUAUUAUACGGCCUGAUGUGGUGAGAUGCGGGAUGCGGCUCUGAUGUGAAGGGAUGCGGGUGCAUCUCUCCAAACCACAUAUGUGGGCAACGCCUAGCACAUAAUGCGGUGGCAUUUCAAAACAUUGAUUUUAGUCAUUUUUACCUCUGUCUUAAAAAAGAUACCUAAGUGAAAUGAAAUUUAAAGCACAUAAUAUUGCAAGGUGGUUUGAUCCUUUGAUAUCUGACCUGAAAAAAAAUGCAACCAAACUUACUUGACCCAGUGACACCGAGAAAAAAUGCAACCAAACUUACUUGACCCAUUGACACCGAGUAGCGUCGAGCUUCUUUUACUUUGUUAUUUAUUUUGAGGGAAAACAUGAUUUGAAGGGUUGAAACCCUCUACAAAAUUAUUGAGGGGAUCCCAAUUAAGAUUAAAGGGCUUCCGUUUUUAGUUUUUAAUUUACUUUAAUACCUCUACAAAAGUUUUACAAGCCAAAAAAUAGUUCGAUGUUGCUAACUGCAAACAAUUAAGAGUAUUUUUUUGGAUGCGGUUUGUAUAGAGCCUAGAGCCUACCUUGAAAUAGUGUAGAGAAAUGUGGUUUCACUACUGAACAUCUUUAUGAUAGCUUUAAAAUAUAUUUUCAUAUGUAUUCCUAACAUUUAAAGCUUCAAAAAUAUUGUAGAUCGACAGAUCUAUGAAAAUCUUGAAAAUUGAUGCUCCAAAAAUACGUUACAAAAUACAUUAUUUUCAAAACUUAAAAUCCAUUUUUUUCUUAUGUCCAUGCAUCUUGAUGUCCAGACAAUCAAUUUGAAGAUAUUUAAGCAUCAAAACAACCUCUUCUAGUAAAAUUUUUGAGGUAGGCUCAAAUUUGAUUGUUUAAAGCCUCGUCUCUAUAUAAAAAUGGUUUUUUUUUUUUGUCAUUUAGUAGCUCUAUGUCACUAAUCUUGAGCAAUUAACAAUAUUUUCCAUAUUUUGCUUUGGCCACUUAAUUUUUUAUUUUUUCGCUUAUUUAAAUAUCUACAUUAACUAACGAGUGGCAUUAUGAGAACUGUUUAGGACACUUAAGUGGGUGUAAAUUACCCAAAUGUCUUACUUGUUUAUGGUUCAUGGUAGUUUUUGUCGUUUUUACCUCAUCUUAAAAAGAGAUACCUAAGUGAAGUGAAAUUUAAAGAGCAGCACUACUGAUGUUAAAAGGUAAUUUUGCAAGGUGGUUUGACCCUUUAAUGUUUUUACACAUAAAAAAAAAUGCUACCAAACUUAUUGGACCUAGUGAUACUAGGCUGAGUCAAGCUCCUUUUACUUUGUUAUUUAUUUUGAGGGAAAAUAUCAUUUAAAGGGUUGAAACCCUUAUAAAAUUAUUAAGGGAAUUCUAGUUAACAUUAAAGAGCUUCUUUUUUUAGUUUUUAAUUUAUUUAAAUACCUCAUCAAAAAAUAUCUUUAAAAUUUUUAAGUUGCCCCUAUUCAAGGUUAGGAACACUAAAUAAGUAGGGGUAUUUCAAUAAUUUGAUCCAUCAAAGAGGCCUCAAUCAAAUAAUAAGAAUGCCCUUACUUUUUCUAGAUUGGUUAAAAUAUCGAAAUGACCAUGCUUAUUUAGAAUUCCCAAACAUCAUGGACAUUUAAGUAUUUUUUAAAGAUAUUUUUGUGAGGAAAAAGUUUAUAUAAGAGGUCAACCUUAUACUUUAAAAGUAAAGUGCAAUUUAAAAAUCCAUCGAAGAAAGUUGUUUUGUCACUAGGAAAUUCUCCAAUUGAUCAUCUUGACUUCGAUAUAUAUGGAUAUAAAAAGAAAAAUAGAUUUUAAGUCCUAAAAAUACUACAUCUUGUAAUACAUUAUCUAGUGUACAUAGAUCUGUUAGAUCUAUUAGAUCUACACUAUUUUUGGAACUUUCAAUUUCACGAUAGAUGUGAAAAAAUAGACUCUUAAACCAUAAUGAGAGUUUCAACACUUAAAAUACAUCUUUUAAUUAGAUUUGAAGGUGCACUUUACCGUAAUUGUUUAAAAUAUAUAAUUAAAUAUUUUUAAACUGGAUAAAAUCUAUACAAACCUCACUAGGAAAUUCUCCAAUUGAUCAUCUUGACAUCUUAUACAAACCUCACUGCAUCCAAGUGAAAUAAGAUGGUGCAGGUUGAAUCCACCUUACCCUGUCAAACCCAAACCGGAUUAAGAGCUGGCCUAGCCCACCCAGCUGAUUUCCGGUUCUGCCAAUUAAAAAUAAAUUACCCAUGAAUUUUUUUUUCAGCUUUACAUGGAAUCCAAUUCACCCCAACAAAAGCAAGAUACAAUGCUUGAUACUUCAAAUUAGAAAAGAACACAUUAUAAUAAUCGUAUUGUCAAUAUGCAUUUGAAGUCAAUAAUCGAAGUCAAGAUGAUCAUCUUGACUUCGUAUUGUCAAUAAUCGUAAUUGAUCAAUUGCAGUGAGGUUUGUAUAGAUUUGAAGGUGCACUUUAAAAUAUAUAAUUAAAUAUACACCUAAAAAAUCCAUAGGUAAAAAUUGAUUUAAUGUUGUAAAACCCUCUAAUAGAUCAACUCCUUAUCGAGAUGUAUGAACAUGAAAAAAAAAAAAAAAAAAAAUUUAGAGUCCUAAAAAUAAUGCAUCUUGUAACACAUUAUCUAGACCGUCCAUUCUCAAGAUUUUCAUAUGUUUUAGAUUAACUUGAUUUUAACUAUUUAUUAUAUUUAAAAUAUAUUAGUUAGAGAAAAAAAUAGUUUUUUUGAUAAUCUUAAAAAAUUGACACCAAGAUUAUAUGUUACGAUAAAAUUUAGAGGUACAACUUAGUUGGAUUGUUUGAAGGUUGCAACCUUACAGAAGAAACCACACCCUUCUCUUGAUGUACCUUUCAUGCUUAACAAGGAGUUUGAUAGGUUCAAAGCACGACUAUUAAAAAUUUAAAACAAAUCCAAUUUUGUUCCAGUUGGCUCGGGUCAUCUUCAACUACAAGUCCACAUCAGAGAGAAGAAGGUUCAAACUUUAGAGUUUAGACCAUAUAAAAUAUGGGUGUCUGUACAUAAUCAGCUAUACACACAUUUAUAUUAGUCUACAUGAUCAUCAAACAACCAGAAACAGAAAAGUCACACAUACUGAGCUCUCUCUCUCUCUCUCUCUAGAAUCUAGAUAGCACACAUUACAUCUCUUUACACGAUACGAGUAAUUUCUCUCUGCACAUUUACACACUGCUAAAUUCUUCUCUCACUAAAUUGAAUCACUGGGUAGUAAUCUCUCUCUCUCUCUCUCUCUAAAAGUAGAAGUAACUCUCAUCUCUCACACAAUGAUGGCAUCCCACUAACUGUGUCUCUCUCUAGAAUCCGGAUCGGACUCAAAUUCCAUCAUAACAACCACCGAAAGUGAUCUGAGCUCUGUUUAAAGGAGCCCCUCUAACAGCAGAGAUCGCAUCAUUUAACCUGGUGGCCUGCUCAACCAUACGCUUGAAACCCUGAGACAAAAAAAAAAAAGAAAAAAAGCUUAUGAGUUGCUUGGACUUGUCCGAGUAAAUCGUCUCUGGCAGAGCCGGAGUACUUUUUGAUUGUCUGAACACUAAAUCGAACCAAGACUCUAAUACAAAAGAAGCCAAUAAACAGAGAAGCAUGCAUUUCAAAGGACAACUUCAUCGACUUUUUAGUUUUUACAUAGAUUGGGCUCGUGAGGAACUCUAGGAUUGUAAUCGUAAGAAAAAAAGAGAAAAAUUAUUUCCAUGAAUCAUACCUUAUCCUCUGCGUAAAUAUGAAACCUGAGCUUAUGAUUUUGAUGAUGUUGCUUAUGCUUCUGUCUCCCGAAAAUGAUGAUAGAAAUUGUAGCAGCGGCCAUGCCCAAAGAACACAGAGUACCAAUCCCUGUAAUUCUCCACCUCCAAAUAUUAACACAUCCAUCCCAUCCAAUUGUCUUCCUUUCUCUCCCCAAAUCCCCCUUCUCUUCUCCAAUUGGGUCGCUGGCUUCCCGUCCAAUUCUCUUCCUCUCCCUCUCUACUAAACCAUCCGCUUUCCGUUGAUUUUCCUCUGCAAUCGGGUCGAUCGAGCGGUGCCCGUCCAUGCUGGUUGUGUCGACAAAUUUGGGUUCCUCCAUUUUCUUGAGGAACACCUGAGAAAUUAGGUCUGAUCCCUCCCGGUCAAGAUUUUCAAGAGAAAAUACAGGGGGACCGGUGCACAGUUUGACCUCCGUUACUGGGACCGUCUGUGGUGUGGGUUCUGCCAAAUCCAGUGGCGGGUCUUUCUCCACUACAGAACCGACAAUCCGGUUUUCCUUCUCGGCUAAAUAUAGAGGUGGUGGUUUUUCUUCUCUAAUUUGGCGGAGUCGAGGAGAGUGAAUGGGGCAGACAAAGUAAUUGACAUCGAGACGGCCUCCAUGAGAGAAGGAGAGCUGUUGAGAGAGAUCCUUGGAUUGGAAGGAGCCAUCCUCUUCACUGAGGAUUUCCCAGUCCUGAAGAUCGAUCUCAUCUGUGACAAACUCCAUUACAGAGAGAGAGAGAGAGAGAGAGAGAUGGGGGGUUCGGGAAUGAAUUAUUGACGUUAUAAAGAAGUUGGGGUCCGCAACGAGAGGUCUUGGAUUAAUAAUUGGAGUUUCGAGGGAACGGGGAGGGAGGGAGGGAGGGAUCAUUCAAGAGAAUAUUUACUAUUUACUGGUUUAGAGAGAGGGAGAGUUGAGUGAAUAUUUGUUGAUUUAGUAGAGAGAGAGAGAGAGCGGCGUGGCCUCGAAUGAAGAGACGGAGUUUAGUAGCGGUUGGGUGCGUUUUUUAAACGGCUUGCGUUGAGCGUUUAACGAGAGAUAGAGAUAGAGAUAGAGAUAGUAACCGCUUGCGUUGAACGUUUAAUUAGAGAGAAAGCGAGAGAGGCGGCCAUGCGUUACAGGGUAAAUGGUCGAAAGAGAGGGGGGGCCGUGGGAUGGCUUAUCCAGCCCUUGAAAUGACAAAUCAGUGGUCCCACACAAUAUGAGAGAGACAAAGAGAUUUUUUAUUUGGGUCUUGGACCUCGCUGCACGCAGUUGCUUUCGUGGAAUAUGAAAGUCGUGUAAGUUUUAGCCAUUGCCACGCAAACCCUGCCGUGAGAUAAAAAAAAAAUUGGGGACGAGAGGGCCAUCGGCAUGUUCCCAUGUUUCAUGCGGGCUGGACCGCAUUUCUACAUUAUGCAGUCCAGUUAUAAAGCAUCUAUAGGCGGUCCAUCUAGAAAUACAGUCCAGUUAUAAAGCAUCUAUAGGCCGUCCAUCUAAACAGAAAGCUUUUUGUGCUCCCCUCACAACAUACAACUUCUAUCGUCUUUUUAAUUCAAAUGGAGGGCUAAGAUUGUCUCAAUCACAAUGUCAUAUCUCUACACUAUUUUUUUUUAAAACUAUUUUGACACCAAAUUUUGGACGUCCAUUCUUCUAUUAAACUCGCACUAACGGAAAAUAUAAAAAAAAUUAUUUUCAAUAAAAUAAAAUGAUCAAAAUACCGCUGAACGUUUCAAGAGGUAUUUUGGUCAUUAUUUUUUAUCGAAAAAUUAUUGUUACUGUUUUUUAUAGUUGUGCCCCAAUUAGAAGAUGUCACGUACGAAAUUUCAUAUUCAAAAAAUUUGUAUUAAAAAAACUAAAAAUAAAAUACUUUGAGACGUCAAAUCUAAGAUCAAACGAUGAGUGGCUCUCUUGAUAAUAAAUGGACGGCUGGAUGGUAGGAGGAGGAUAGAACUGCUAUGUCGUAAGGAGAACAUAGAAAGCUUUCCCCCAUCUAAAAACAUAGUGUAACUAUCGGUCUAAAUAUUUUUUUAACGGAAAUGUUUCUAUGCUUCCCCUAUAGUAUAGAAGUUCUAUCCUUUCCCUACCAUCCAGCCGUCCAAUUUUGAUCAAGAGAGUCACUCAUCAUUUAAUCUUAAAUCCGACAUCUCAAGGUUUUUUUUUUAAAAUUUUUUUUAUACAUAUUGUAUGAAUAUUAAACUUGGUAUGUGUCAUCUUCUCAUUGGGGUGCACCUAUAAAAAAUAUUAAAAAUAAUUUUUCAAUAAAAUAUAAUGACCAACCCUUAAAAAUUUCAGGGGUAUUUUGGUUAUUUUAUUUUAUUUAAAAUAUUUUUAGCUAGUACGAGUUUAAUAGAGGGAAUGUACAUCCAAAUUUUGGUGUCAAAAUAGUUUAUAGAAAAAAAUUAAAAAUAAAAUAAUGUAGAGGCGUGACAUUAUGAUUGGGGCAAUCUUAACUCACCGUUCAGAUUGGACAGUUGGAUAAAGGGGAUGAUAGAACUUUUAUGAUAUAGGAAAAGCAUAGAAAGCUUGUCUUUUUUUUAAUAUAAUUAUUAUUUCUGUUUUUAUUUUCUCCAUGUUAAAGAUUAUAUAUUUUUUAAAAAUUAGAAUCAAAUUAUAUUAAAAAUAUAUAUUUAUUGCCAAUCCCGCAUUUCUACGAUAUGCGGGCUGGCCACAUCGGAACCGUUUCCUUUACAAUUUGGUGAGAGAAGUUCGUUUUGGAGGUUGGCUUCCACCAAACCAAAGGCAAACUUAAUGUGAGUUUUAUUUGUCUUGUUAUAAUUGCAUUGCAGGGAUACAUUGUUCACUAAUUAAGGAGAGAAAUCAAUGGUUCGAUUUAAAAAUGACUGAUGUCAAUAGAGAAAAAUUUUAAAAAAGAAAAUUAAAAAUUUAAUAUAAUUUAAGCUAAAAAAAUAGGCCGCUGAUUUGGAUCAGAACAAGGUAUAUAUGUGUUUGCUUAGCGUGAGACUUUCUUGUUGGGGUGAGGAAGAGAUUUGGAUACGUCCUUUCGGUGUGUUUGUGGGACCAAAGGAAGAUUUGGCUUGUGAUUCCAAUCUUGGAAUGAUUUGAAAGACGUGGGGUAAAAGAAAAAAAUUACAUUUUGCUAUUUCCAUAAUUUAAAGGUAAAUGAUAUUCUACUCCCGUGGGAGUUGAAGGUCCAUUUACUCCCACAGUUAAAAAUCCCAACUACGCCUAAUUUUAGAAUCCUAAAUUUUGGAGAUGUUAUCACCUCACCCAUCGAUUAACCCCAAUUAAAAAAACCCUAAUUAUACCCCUCGAUGUACUUGAAAAAAAUUAUGUAUCCAGGUUGAAUAGUGUCCAUUUAAUUUUUGGAUGGUGAGAUCUAAUAGCUAAAAAACUCAAAUUUUAAAUUUUUUUUUAAAUAUAAUCAUGUACUAAUUUUUAAGUGGUUCUCAAAAUUUCAAUUGAAAAGAUUCGUCUCAAAUAGGUCCUUUAAUUGAGGGAGUAGAAAUAAACUAUGCUCCCAAGGGAGCAUAGUAUACAUGCUCUUGCUUUAACAAUAACCUUUUUAUCCAACGGUGGAGAUAGGGUAAUCUAUAUGCUAAAAAAUGUUGAUCAUGACGGUCAACUGCCAGCCCAACCCCUUCGGAUUCAUUGAUUGUUUAGAUAAAUACAUAAAGAAUAUGAAGACAAAUUUGAAUAUAAAAGUGUCUCCACCGACUGUAAAAAGAAAGUUGAAGUAUCUACAAGUCCGACGACUCAUAUGUAGAUAUGCGCCCCCUCUUAAUUAUUUGUUUUUUUUAACAGAUUUUGACCCUAUUGUUUAAAGAAUAUAUAGUAAUAUCUAACAUAGAGAUUAUUAUAUAUUAAAAAAUAAAUUUAAAAAAUAAAAAAAGAUAAAUGGUUUUGAAGGAGGUGUUUAGACCAAUGGUUUUUAAACUUUUUUUUUUUUUGGAGGGACUACCAUUUACAUCCAUCUUUGUGAUGGAUGGUUUAUGCAUCGGAAGAUGAAAGGUAGGAAUGCAUCCUUGGAUGGAUAUAACACUUUCCCAUACAAAAAUGCAGCUUUCUAGUUUAAAAGACAGAAAGCUUAGAAAAAGGAAAGAAAGGGAAAAUACGUUUUCUUCAUAUGAAUUAUAAUUUGGAGAAUUUACAGAUGCAUUCUAUUUAAGUUUUGGAAUUCAAAUAUUUGAAAAUGGUUUCAUAUAUUUCAUAUUCUAUGGAGACAUUCUUUUCUAAAGUUAUUAUUUUAAAUUUAAUCUUUUCUAUACAUAGUUUACGUUCAAAUUUAAUAUAUGCAUACUUGUCACUAUCGUUGACUAAAACUACAUCUAGAAUUUGCUUUGUUAAAAAAAUUACGAACAUACCCUUGAAUAUCGUAGAGGUAUUUUGGUUAUUUAUUAUUUUAACUAUUUUACAUAAUUUCCAAAAAUGUACAAUAGUGAAAAAGUUUGUAACUAUCAAAUUUGAGCUUAACAAAAAUUAUAAAAUUAAAUUACAGUUUAUGCUUUUUAUGAAUGGGAAAAGUUUAUAUAAAGCAUGGGAUCUAUACAAAUCGCAUCCUUUAUAAAUAGGGAUGGUAUAUAAUAAGACUAUUUACUUUUGAUACAAGAAGGUUAUAAUUAUUUACAACCAUCGGAUGUGAAAUCCGAUAGCAUGGUUGUAUCACAAAGUUCAAAAAAAUUUCUUUUAAAGUUUAAGCUUGGUCAAUGGACUAAAUACAACUAUUUAAUUUUACAUCUAAUGGUGAAGAUUGAUUGCGACUACCUUGUACCAAAGAUAAAUGUUAUCAUUCUAUACUUUUCCUAUAAGUAAGCUUGACUACUAUAUUAAACCAUUUUUAAAUUUCAAAACUAAAUUGAAUUCCUCUAUAUAUUUCCCUUAUAAAUUUACAACAAUCUUAUACGUUUCUAUUUAAAUUAAUUUAAAAAUAAAAUUGAAUUCCUCCAUAUAUUUCCCUUAUAAAUUUACAACAAUCUUAUACGUUUCUAUUUAAAUUAAUUUAAAAAUAAAAUUGAAUUCCUCCAUAUAUUUCCCUUAUAAAUUUACAACAAUCUUAUACGUUUCUAUUUAAAUUACAAGCUGGGUCUUGUCUCUCAAAAAAUUUACAAGAAAAAUACAAAGGGAAGAAAUAAAACAUGUCCAAAAUUUCUAUACAUGAGACACAGCCGGCAAGUUUUCCGGCUUGUUUACUGGGAAAAAGAAAGGAAAAGUGACGUCUUUUUGCUCCCACAUGUGACUCAACCUUGAGAGGGAGGAAUCUCGGUCGCUAUCUCCGAGACGGUAAAAGCAAAAGUUUGUUAAAAAGGAAAAGCAUUUGGCCUCCACGUAUUACCCCAUUAUCCAAAAAAUGGGUUUCUAUGAGCCCCCCGCCUCACAGUACAUGUGCGUCCCCUCAAUGGAUUGUGAAUUUAAAUACGGAAAAAUUUUAUGCAAGGUUACAACCUUAAAAUGUAGGAUUAAAUAUGCAUAAAAAAAAUCUAUCCAAAAAAGUUGUUUUAAUAUUGAAAAACCCUCUAAUUGAUCAUCUCAACAUUGGGAUGUAUGAAGAUUAAAGAAAAAGAAGAAGAUUUCGAGUCUCAUAAAUAGUGUAAAUUGCAACACAUUAUCUAGACCGUCCAUUCUUAAGAUUUUCAUAUGUUUAUAGAUCUACUUGAUUUAAUCAUUUUUAAAGUUUAAAAUUUUAUAAUUAGAUAUAAAAAUAGAUUUUUAGAUAAUCUUAAAAAUGUUUUACACCAAAAGUACAUGAUAAAAUUUGGAAGUGUGCCUUAAUUGGAUUGUUUAAGGUUGCAACAUUAUACCAACCACCCCCUUUAAAUAUUUAGGAAUUUAUGAUCUAGGCAUGAUGAUCUUGACUAUUUUAAAUUUUUAUUUCAGAAGUAUUUUUUUUUCAAAAAUUUAUCCACCAUCUAUCCUAAGAUGGACAUUGGAUGGUCCCCCUGACUCAUAUAGCACUUUUCCUUAUUCAAAAUAUUACAUCCACAACCUGGAGCACAUGCAUUUGGAAAAGUAGUUUAUGCUUCAAGAGAUGCAAAUGUAAUAUCGCAUCCCCUGAGGUAUCACACAUCCAUCCAAAACCUGAAUGCGGAGUUGUAUUCGCCCCCAUAAAGGAAAAAUCAAUUGUUUAGAUUUUUUUUUUUUUUUUCAUAUUCAUGAUCUUCAUGUUAGAGAUUGCAUAUAGAUAAAAUAUUAGAUCCAAAAUCCAUCUAAAAGAUGGAUUAUAAAGAGGCAAUGCGUAAUGUACAUAAGAGUCCUAGGACUCAUAAAAACCAUGUACAUAAGAGUCCUAGGACUCAUUAACCCCUCGGGUUGCCUUGCUUAGUCAAAGAGGCCCGGCAAAAGGCGUCUUGAAGAGGACACUUCCACACAUGUCCAAUCCAAUCCACAAGUAUUUGUCCCAAAAUUUUAGGAUGUAAAUAAGGCUCAGCUUUGUGACUUGGAAGGCCGGUUAUGGCCUCAACUACAAGCUCGCAGGCGUACCCCAGGUUGGCCAUGGCCUGGUAUUCGGGUCAGGCUCAGACCGGUCUGGUAUUCGGGCCAGGCUCGGACUGGUCUGGCUUGAAAAUAUACAAAAUAUGGUUUUAUAUUAUAUAUGUACAUUAAAUUUAAAAGAGAUAUAUUCAUUAUGCAUAAAUUGUAUUUUUAUAUAAGGAAAAGUAUAUAAGGUUGUAACCUUAUACUAUUGAAGUAAGGUACGCCUUAAAAAUCCUACAUAAGAGAGUGUUAUGGUGUUUAAGAACUUUCCAAUUAAUCAUCUCGACCUCAAUAUAUAUGAACAAGAAGAAAAGAAAGAAUUUCAAGUCCAAAAAAUAGUGCAUCUUGUAACAAGUUUUUUUGAACCAUCUAUUUUCAAGAUUUUUAAUUUUUUCUUGAUUAGCUUGAUUUAUACCAUUUUUUAAAUUUUAAAUUCUAUAACUAUGGAUGAAAAUAGAUUUUCAAGCCACUAUAAGAUUUCCAACACCAGAACAAUAUCUCUAAGUAAAUUUUAGAGGUAUGAGGUAUCCUUGGUAAUCCCUUAGAGUUGGGCAUUAAAGUGAAUUCUUUUCAUUUUCUAAACUCUAAUUUUUAGGGUGUCGAUUUCUUUCCCACUUAUUCAGCCCAUACUACAAAAUAAGAACCAAAGAGAUGCAACUAUAGACACCCCCUGUAAUAGUACUCGGUAGACUAUAACUAUUGUCAAACACCAUAGGAAAUAUCUUGACAAUACCCUACAAUCCCCAAAUGACACCAAAAAUGACGGGUUCUCGAUGCAAGGGAGGAAAAUUCGGGAUUUAUUGGAUCUAAAUUGGAUGGGAUGUUCGAUGGUACUAGAACCCUCCAAUUAAUCAUAUUGAACUUGAGAAAGAACAAAAGAAUUUCAAGUCCAAAAACUAGUGCAUCUUAUAAUAAGCUAUUUGGACCGUCUAUUUUCAAGUGUUUUUUGAUUUGCUCGUUCUAUACUAUUUUUGAAAUUUUAAAUUUUAUAUUUGUGGAAAGAAAGAGAUUUUGAAGUCAUCAUAAGGUUUUUUAUGCCGAAACGACAUCUCUAAGUAAAUUAUAUAGGUGUGCCUUUUUCUAUAGUAUAAGGAAGCAACUGUAUACAAACCUCACCUAUAAGGAAGGAAAAAGUUCAUAUAAGGUUGCAACCUUUUACAUUUGGAGUAACGUACAUCUCAAAAAUCCUACAGUGGUGAGAGUUCCAGCAUAGGAGAACCCUCCAAUUGAUCUUCUCGACAUUGAGAUGAAUGGACAUGAAGAACAAAAGAAUGCUAAGUUCAAAAAAUAGUGCAUCAUAUUAAAAGAAUCUGAACCGUCUAUUUUCAAGAUUUUAUAGUGUUUCUUGAUCUGCUCGAUCUAUAGCAUUUUUUAAAUUUUAAAUUUUAUAACUGAGGAUAAAAAGAGAUCUAUGAUUUUCGAUUUCGAAACCACAUCUCUUAAUAAAUUUUAGAGGUGCACCUUGCGUCUACACUCUACAGUAUAAGUAGACAACCUCAUACAAACCUCACCCAAGAAGGAAAAACAAACUUCCCGAGAGAUGUACAUUAAGAUUUGCCCACCAGCCUGUAAUGUAACUUGUGAAAGUGAGAGAUUUGGCCUGUAAAUAUACUUCAUUCGAGAGCCCUAAGGUGGGUUAUGAUGAAACCCUCAAUCUCUUUCUUCCUGACCCAUUCAAUCCUAAAAAACCCUACCCCUAGGAUGUCAGUUCUCUACAAUUCCAAGAGCCUACUAGUCCACUAAAACUCUAGAGAACCAAAGCUUAAAUUCUUCAAGUCUUAAGAAAAACAAGCUUCAAGUUCAAGAUAAACCCUAAGUCUCUCUAGCCCCCUAUUUCUUUCCAAGUUCAAAAAAAUCUCUUGUUCAAGUUAAUAUCGAAGAUCGCAAAACGAACGCUCAACAUCUUUGUCUGAUCAAGGCCUCAACUUCGGGUGCGGGGCCAUAGUCUUGGCCUAUGCCAAGUAAGUUGUUUCUUUCUUUUCUUAACCUAUACCGCUUCUGAAUUGUAACUGAUUUAAUUUCAUGCAAAUUAGGAGCAGAUCUAGUGUCAUCUCGCCUCAGAUUUUCAAGUGUCAACAAAGAGAUUAGAAAUUACAGAGAAAUUAGAGUGCAAGAGGAGACUAGAGAUAGAGAGAUGGAUGGACUAAAACCUGAGUUGAUGAUGAUUACGCACAAAUGGAAGCAAGAAGAAGGGGAACUGACUUACGAAUUUGGAGCUUGAGAAGCUAUCAACCUGGAUAACAUGCGAAAUUUUGAGAAGGUUGAGAGAGAAAGCACACUAAACAUUCACUCAACAAAAUGUACAUAGGACUAGUUGACCAAAUUACCUCGAAGAAUAAGAGAAAGAAAAUUGUUUCAUGCGUCGGGGACCACAUUUCUACAUUUCCGAUCUCCAGGGUAUAAAGCAUCCAUCUUAAAGAUGGAUGCAAAUAGGUGGUCCAUCUAAAAACAAUUGAAACUAACGGUCCAAAUGUUUUAUUAAUAGAAUUAUUAUUUUUAGUUUUUAAAAUUUGCUUAUAUAUUCACAUUUAUGAUAUCCAUGUUUUACAUGUUUAAAAAUUAAGUUCAAAAAUUCCAUUUCAAAAAUAGAUUUUUAAGAGAUGAUUCAUUUCUACAUGGACUCGUAGAAACCGUGUCCAUAAGAGAAUGACAAGAAAAAAGAUGAUGCCCCCAAGUAGCUCAAAUCUGAAAAUGGCCUAUUCCACACAAGAUACAUGUCUUUAUUCGGUUGGAUGUACAUGAGAAAGCGCUAAUAAUUGGCAAUCUUAUUAAGCAAGGUAAGAUUCUGCCCAACGUUUGCUUGUUAUACAAGAUGGAUGGGGGAGUCUUGUGCCUACUUAUUUGCUCAUUAAUCUCUCAGUACCAAGAUUUGGAAUGUUUUCCUGAAUCGUUUGGGGAUAAGUGCGGCUCUAUCUCAAAGUGUUUUGGGCAUUGUCUCUCACUGAAGCUUUCCUUGUUUAGCAAAUGUCGGUGCUCUAAUUUGGAAAGUUGUUAGAGGGACAGUUUUAUGGAAAGUAUGGAAGGAAUAAAAUAGGAGAAUUUUUUAAAGGAAAGCUUUGCCAUUUGACAUGGUUCUCAAUAACAUCAAUCACUCUAAGUGUUACUAAGGAGUGUCAAGGCAUCUCACAAGUAGAUAUAUUAUUAAAUCUCCCCAAUUUUAUCCAUCUUAGAGUUGUCAAGGGUAGGCCUAUGGGCAGAUGGAUACCACAAUUAUAGGGUUCUUUUAAAUUAAACUUUUAUUGUAGUUCAUUUGGUAAUAUGGGAGAAACAAUGAUUGGGGGAAUAGUGAGUGACUCUUUUGGAAGAGUUAUCUUUGGUUUUUCUAGACCUUUGGGUCAUGCUACGGCCAACUAUGCCCCAGUAGCAACACUUUUACAAUAAUUACAGCUAUUUAAGUCCAAAAAUGUGUGUGCUUGUUGUGUGGUUGAGGGUGAUUCAAUGAACAUAAAUAAGUGGUGCACAAAUUAGCAACAUGUGCCUUGGACCUUAAAGCCUACGUGGUGUGAGAUUCUUGACUUGGCUAGAGGGCUCACGGUCUCUUUCGAACAAGUCUAUAGGAAGCAAACUCUUGGGCAGACUCUUUAGCCAAAAAGGGAGGCGUCUUUGUCUUUGUCUUUGCUAUGGGUUUCUAAUGAUGUAAAUCUGUUGUAAUCAUUUUUUAGAGCAAUAAAUUUAUUAAUAUUGGUCAAAAAAAAAAAGAAAAAAGAUAAUGCACUCUAACAACAGCUAGUCAUGUAACUAAUCAAUUAGCGCAAGCUCAACCCAAGCCUGUCUCCUUGACAAAAAUUGAUUGUCGAACCCGGCCCCGAACCAUGCCUGAAACCCUAAUAAGGUUGCCAAAAGAUAUUUUACUCCCAUGUCAGUGAAAUGCAUAUUUUACUCCCUCAAGUAAAAUCUUAUCUAGAUUUAAUUUUGUGGCAAAAAUUUUUAGGGAUGUAACCUCUUCAAUCUACAGAUUAGCUUCAAAAAAUAUCCUAAUUCUACCUUCUAUGCAAUUGAAAAAAAAGAAUGUGUUGAGAUUGAAUAGGGACCAUCUAAUUUUUAGAUGGUGAGAUCUAAGUGUUGAAAACAUUUAUGGGAAUAAUCAUCUUUAGUGGCACCUAAAAUUCAAACUGAAGAAUCCUCAUGAGUAGGUCUUCUCAUUGAGGGAGUAGAAGUAAACUAUGCUAUCAAGGGAGCAUAGUAUAGGUGCCCAAUAAGGUUUUGAGAAAAAAAAAUGGGGCAUUUCAUUAACAAAAGUGGUAAAAUAAAAACUCUAAAAAUGUGCCGAUAAGGAAAGUUUACUGAGAAGGGUUUUUAUUGUAUCUACAUCAUGUGAAAGUCAAAUAGUUUACAACCCCCUUAAACAGUUCAUGUUAGAAAAUAAAAAUAUGUACGGCCAUGAUUUAUAUGUAUAUUGUACUUUUAUUUUUUAUUGAUUAGAUUUCCAUGAAACUUUGAAGGCGUUCGUGCCACACAGUGAACCUAAGAAAAUGUAAAAAAUCAUUUUGAAAAUAAAUUGACCAAAAUACUAUUGAAUAUUUUAUUUUUUUAUUGUUUAGAUUUACAUAAAAUUUUGAAGUGUUUGUACCACACAGUGAACCUAAAAAAUAUAUUAAAAAAAAAUUAUUUUAAAAAAUAAAUUGAUCAAAAUAUCAUUGAUCAAAAUGUCAUUGAGUAUUUUAAAGGAAUUUUGAUCAAGUUACUUUUUUCUUUUUUUUUUUAGGUGCGAUUGAUUGAGAUUGUGAUGCCCAAAAAUUUCAUAUUAAUCCAAAUUUUAGAAAAAAAAUAAGUGUAGAAUAUUACACACAAUCAUGACCCUCCUUUUUAUUUUCUUUAAAUAUGAAACAUUAAGAGGGGUGCUUAUUUACCAUCCGUUUACUACUAAAAAUGGGCAAGAAUUUUGAAAAUAUAUAAAACGAAGGUUAGAUUUUCUUAAAUAAAAGAAUAGCGGCAAAUAUGUGGUUUUCUUUCAAAAAUUUUGUUGUACUACUGUAGCACUUACGAAGGGGUGAGAUCUAUAUAAGUAUCAAACAUAAAAAGACUAAAGCACAUCUUUAAAGUAAGCUGAAAGAUGUAGCUCCUAUGCUGGAAAAACUUGAGACGGCGGAAAAUCUAUCAUCGCCAUUAAUUAUGAAAUUUCAAGACCAAAAAUAGUACAUAUCAAGCAAAUCUUUAAAAAAAAAUCUAAAAUUUUGAAAAUGGAGGUCCAAAUAAUGCAUCACGAGAUCUACUAUUUUUAUGACUUGAAAUCCUUUUCUUCGUAUCCUUACAACUCGAGGUCAAGAUGAUCAAUUUAAGGGUUUUCUACAAUCAAAAUACCCAUCUUCGAUGAGUUUUUGAGGUGCAUCUUACUUCACUAAUAUAAGGCCGGCACCUUUAUACAGUGGAAAAUUGAAUGCUGCAAGCAGCCGUUGGAAAAUUUCACCAGGAAUAUCCAUCCCACUUGUUUAGCAAUUUUUACAUUUUUUUUUUGGGUAAUUCACGUGCUUAACAAUUUACAACCGCAAUGAAUGCAAACAUCAGCUUCAAAAAUUGAACUUCGAGUUUUUAACGCUGCUAGUUGCAUUGAUUGCAGUUGUAAAAUGUAAAAUAUAUGAGUAUUUAGCAACGUAUAUACAUUACUGUGUGUCCUAAAUAUUGGUAUCUCUAGGGCAUUCCCAUUUUAUCUCAUUAUGGGUAUAGAUAUCGAGUAUACAGUCAAAAUCAAUUUUUUUGGGGAAAGACCUCCAAAACCAACACUCCUUUUCUCCAAACUUGUUACUCAUGUUACUUGAUGUGCUAAUGGAACUAUAACCCAGCAUGCUAUUUCCACUAUUUCCUUAUGUCAUUGCACAAGCAGAUCCAAGUCCUAAAAUAGGUUUUUCACUGUGUAGAACACUUGACACAAAGGACCCCAUGAACUCAUCAUUUUCUCUCUCUUUUGAACACUGCACAUCCAUUAACUUCUUCUCUCUAUAAAUAACUUUUACAAAAAGAGAACCUAUGAUUCUCUCUCUUUUGAACACUGCACAUGCAUUAACUUCUUCUCUCUAUAAAUACAUUUUACAAAGAGAGAACCUAUGAAACAGACCUUCCUCUUCCAUUUCCUUGAGUUAGAAAGUUAUCUCUAUCCCAUAGAUUUAUUUCUUUUUCAAACCCCAAAGCAUCCACCUCCAUAUAUAUAUAAGGUUACUAGGUGCUUAUUGAACUUAUAAGCUCCCUACAUUAGGUUGUAUAGAUUCACGCAUCCAACAUCCUUUUCACUUGAAGACAUGUUUCCAUUUUGACUAAUUUACUUCAAGAUAUUACUGCCAAACAUUUAGUAAUCAUUAAGUAACCACAAGCUCCAAGGAAAUUAUACGUGAGCUGAUCUUCUCUUUACUAAUGGGGCAUAGUCAACAUAUCUGCUAAACUGUCGUCAUAUAUAAAUUUUUUACAAUAAAGUUCUUCUAUCUUCUACUAAAAUAUUAAUAAAGUGACAUUAACCAUCAAUACGUUUAGUCUUGUCGUAAAAAGCUAGAAUCUUAGCUAAACACAAGAAACUCUAGCUAUCACAAUGAAGUAAUAUCCCUUAUGCACAACUUGAAACUGUUCCAGCAACAUGUAUAACUCUAUUACUUUACAAGUUUACUUAAAAUAAUAGAGGAUCCACUUUAUAGUGAUCCCAUGAUCGUAGUUAGGAUUCGUCAUGUAUUUACUUACAACUCUUACUUCUUGUACUUUGCCCUGGUGUUAACAUAGCAAACAUGAGACUUUCUGUUGUCUAUGAAUAUAGUACUUAAGACAUUUGUAUCCUAUGUGCUUUAGUGAUAGGAUUUCAUAUGCAUAGAGAAUGGUGUACUAAUUGGUUUUGGAUUAUAAAUACUGAAAUGUCACAACACCGUUUCCACAACUUUUUGGAGUAAAUGAAAUUCUCAUGUUCUUCCAGUCUUUGAAUACACCCAUCUCAAAAAUUCGAUUAAUGGCUCCCAAAUCAUUCAUUCCAAAUUCCUACCUGCAGUUAACAUACAAUAACAUUAUAAUAAAGCUUUUAUCCCAUAAUUAUAAAAAUAGACAAAAUGGUCAGUUUCAUAUUUACAAAAUUUAAAGUUAACAUUAACGAAUUAAAUUGUGUACCGACACGUUGGCCCCUUUUUUAUCCCAUCAAAUUAUUUAUUUAGCCUAUAAACAAUUCGGCUUACCUUCCUCAAUAAAAUCUUUAGGCUGGGUAAUAACAUAUCUUCUUCUCGAUUAUCAUGCAAGAGAGCAGUUUUCAUAUCUUGUUUUACUUGUAAAUCAAUAACAACAAGCAUAGUCAAAAUAACUCUUCUAAAAAUCAUGCACAUAAUAAAGAAAAAUUUUCAUUAAAAUGAAUACCUAAAUUUUGAGCAUAGCAUUUCACAACUAAUUACACUUUGUACCUUUUAAUAACUUCAUUAAGACCUUUUUUUUUCUUUGAAGACUCACCUGCAACCAAUCACCUUUUGCCCAUCUAGCAAUUCAAUGAGGUCCCAUAUCUCUAAAUAGACAAUAAAAUACAAUGAUUGGAUUUUGGAUCUAAUUUUGUUCUCUUCUCUUUUCAAAUCAAAGAAUAUCCAUCAUAAAAAAAAAUAUUUAUUGGAUAUUGCAUCAUACAAUCAAGUGCUUUUUUUAAGCAUAAAGUUUAUUUUAAUUGUAUUUGUUUUUCUAUAUAUUAGACUAAGGACAAAUUUGUUGUAUCUACACUUCUCACUAUCAUACAUGUAUAAAAAAAUUACCAAACUACCUAAGUUGUUUGGUAUUUUUAUUUAUUUUAAAUUAUUUUUAAAAUAUUUUAUUAAUAUAUGAUAGUGAGAACUAUAGACACAUCAAAUUUAAGUUUAAUAUAAUGUAAAUAAAAAAUUAAAAAAAAUUAUACAAUGAGACUAUUUACUUCUGAUAUACAAUCAUCAUUGACCGUUGAAUUUCAAUUUGAGUGGCUGAGGAUAUGUCAUUGAUUGGGUGUGAAGUCCAAAAUAAAAUUUGUCAAGAGUUGUGAUGUACUUUUAUACCUUGAAUUUCAUAUCCAAUUGGUAAAAGUAAUUGUGACCUCCUUGUACCAAAAAUAAACGCACUAUAGUAAUCCCAAAUUAAAAUAUACUAUGUUUUUAAAAAAUAAGAAUUUAUCAUAAGAUAUAAAGAGAUUAUAUGAUAUGAAACCAUUUAUCUUUAUUAUAAGGAGGUCACAAUUACUUAUGGUCAAUUAGAUGUCAAAUUAGAUAACUUGGUAUGUNNNNNNNNNNNNNNNNNNNNNNNNNNNNNNNNNNNNNNNNNNNNNNNNNNNNNNNNNNNNNNNNNNNNNNNNNNNNNNNNNNNNNNNNNNNNNNNNNNNNNNNNNNNNNNNNNNNNNNNNNNNNNNNNNNNNNNNNNNNNNNNNNNNNNNNNNNNNNNNNNNNNNNNNNNNNNNNNNNNNNNNNNNNNNNNNNNNNNNNNNNNNNNNNNNNNNNNNNNNNNNNNNNNNNNNNNNNNNNNNNNNNNNNNNNNNNNNNNNNNNNNNNNNNNNNNNNNNNNNNNNNNNNNNNNNNNNNNNNNNNNNNNNNNNNNNNNNNNNNNNNNNNNNNNNNNNNNNNNNNNNNNNNNNNNNNNNNNNNNNNNNNNNNNNNNNNNNNNNNNNNNNNNNNNNNNNNNNNNNNNNNNNNNNNNNNNNNNNNAUAUAAAUAAUAAAAUAUGAUUUACAUUUAAGUUUCCCUUAUUUUUUAUGGAAGGGUUUCUAUGCUUCUCUUACAUCAUAGAAGUUCUAUCCUCCCACUACCAACCAGCCGUCCAAUUUUGAUCAUGAGAGCUACUCACCGUUUGAUCUUAAAUCCGACGCCUCAAAGUAUUUUAUUUUUAGUUUUUUUUAUAUGAAUUGUAUAAAUAUGAAAUUUAGUACGUGCCAUCUUCUCAUUGGGACACACCUAUAAAAAAUAUUAGAAAUAAUCAUUUAAUAAAAUAUAAUGAUCAAAAUAUCCUUUUAAACUUUUAAAGGUAUUUUGAGCAUUUUAUUUUAUUAAAAACAUUUUUUUAUAUUUUUUACUAGUACGAGUUUAAUAGAAGAAUGGACGUCCAAAUUUUUGUAUCAAAAUAAUUUAAAAAAAAAUUUAAAAAAUAAAAUAAUGUAGAGUCGUGACAUUGUGAUUGGAGCAAUCUUAAACCCUCCAUAAGGAUUGGACAAUAGGGAAGAUAGAACUUCUAUACUGUUCUAUGCUGUAAAGGAAGGAAGCAUAGAGAGCUUGCCCUACUUUUUAUCCGCUCGGUGUGUCCCUUUUUUAUAUUCUUUAUUAAAAGCAAGACACACAUCCUUCCAUAUCCGUGCCAUAAACGGACUCGGACCAGCAGCUACCUGGUUGGAAUAUCCAAGCCAGGUUUUCGAAACACUGAUUGGGGUGAAACUCAUGCAGGAAAGGUUCUACUCAUUUUUUUGAAGUCUGUCUAAUGCUAAGGCUUGCACAAGUUUUGCUAAAUUUGGAGGGUUCACUAGCUCCGAAACUAUAAUUUUCGCUAAAUAAAUUUGGAGGUGAGGUGAGGCUUUUGCUUUUUUUUCCAGAAAGCCUGGGCCCAAUGUUUUAAUCUUUUCCCAAAAAAAUUAUAAUGACGUAAACACAGCAAUAAUAGAAACGUAAAUUUCACUAAAUAAAAUGACAGUCAAACAGCAAAUACAUAAAGCGAGCAGCAUGACGAAGCGAUCGGAACGCAUCACACAUGAUGACGAAGGGACGACGUGCAAAGCACUUAUGCAAGGGGACCACGCCACAUUAACAUACCUACUCUCUCUGGAAUCUCCCUCAUCGCGCUUUCUUCAAGCUUGGCUUUUAUAAGAAAACAAAAAGGGCAAACUCCAUGUGCAAAAGACUAGUGGUGCGAAAGUGCGAACAAGUCGCAGAUGCCCUCAACCGCAAGCUUUUCAAUUUCUCACUCCAAUUUAGGAAAGUCUUUCACCCCUCGGCUCUCUCUUCUCUUCGGAGGGAGAUUGGUUCAUUAGAGAGGCCGAAAACCUCGCCUUCGAUUAAUAUAUAAUACUGUAAUGUUUAUAAUACUGAGUUGGGAUAGUGACGCAUUGUCUCCUAAUACUGUUUGCAAUCAUCUUUGUUUUUUCUGCAUAUGUAUAUCAUGUUUUCCUGCAUUUGCUGUAAAUGAAUAUGCUGGAAUCAAAUUAUAAUUAUCAUGAAAAAGUAUGGAUCUUCUCUGGUUAGUGAAACUAGGGUAAAACAUUUCAGCAUGUGAAAGGAACUGAAUGAUUUACAGAAGAAUUCAGGCCAUUGGAGAGAUUUUUCACCAAAUUCCGUGAGAUUAAGAUCUAACACCAGUCAAAUGUCGUCAGAAGAUCAAAACUAAUAACCUGUCGUGUCCAUGCAGUAAACAUACACCAGAGAAGGGAAAAUCCCUUACACAUUGAUAUAUGGAGACAUAUUGAUAUAUAGAGGAGAGAGAAAGGAGAGGAUAGAAGAGAGAGAGAAAGAGGAGAAGAAAAAAAGGUUUAUUACAAGAGAAAGAUACACGCAAAAGAACCGAUACCUUCAGCAGAAGAGAUCAGCUCGCAUUAUUUCCUAAAUGGCUAAAAAAAUAAACAUCAUCACCAUCACCUGUGCACCCCUCUGCAACUCUCACACGCCAAUUACAAGUAGAAGUUUCAAAUCCAAAAAAAAUACAUAGUGAAAACACAGAUCUCAGAGAGUAAAAUGUCACACGCUCGUCGUCUAUCCACAAUCACCAUAGCAAGAGAGAAGAAGAAGAGAAGCAAAGUCUCAAUGUCAUAUGAAUCAUCACAAACUCCAUGAAUGUAGCUAAAAAACCCUAAAAAUAAUGGAAUUCAUGGCCUCUCAGCAAAAGAAGGCAUAGAAGAAGGCAAUCAAGGAACCAGCCGCAAGUGACGGCACCAUAGCCGAUGCAUCUGAGGCAGGAAGUGGCGCGGGGGCGUCGGCCGCAUGGGCACCUGAAAACAUGGCGAAAGCCAUGAGAACCACCACGAAAGCCAUGGCAGCCAUUCUGAACCUGCAGGCCUCCAUAUCUCUCUCUAAAACUCUGUAAAUCUCAAGAGAAAGAGGGAAAACUCCGACUCUAGAGAGAGUGAGAGGCAGUUUUUAGAGAGAGAAGGAGAUUUAUAGCUUGAAUCGCAGGCGAACCAGGUGCUUUGAUUGAGGACAAGUAAAUGGGGUUUUAUAGCAAAAAGGGCAGGAUACCCGUUUUUUAAGGGACUCCCCGGUUUUUUCUGCCGUUAUUUGCUUGGUGGCCGUUGUUUCUGGUUGUCUCCUUUGACAGGUUGUCUCUUGCUCAGUGCCAUACAGCUGGGCGUCGUGGUGGUCCACACCUCCUUAACUACCGAUUUUCCAUACACAACCUAAACAGUACACCAAACAAAUACCGACCGCCAGGUGUGCUGUCUUUUUCCGCUUGGUUUAUUCAUCGGUGUAUAAUAAUACACGAGGCGUCC